rnacentral:lncRNA from 1 species
UUUUAAAAAAAAAGCUUCAAUUACAACGGUUCAAACAAAAAUCGUUGUGGAAAGUUGUAAAAUAAAAUUAGAAAAUCACACCCUAAACCACAACGCUUAAAAACCCCUUUUGACAACGAUGACGUAAUAACCAUUGUAGAAGAAACAAUUACAAUGAUUUCGGAGCCAACCAUUGUGUAUUCAACGUCGUCUUUUUGAAUAUUUGUAGUAGUGCUAGUAAUAUGUAACUAUAAGUAAAGUUGAAAAUUUAAAGAACAAAAGAUGAUGAAGAAGUAAUUGGUUAAUUAACAAGCUUAUACUGAUUCUCGAUCGAUGAAAAGGUUGUGGACCUAUUGGUACAAUGAAAGAAAACAAGAAAAAGCUAGCUAGACGGCCUGUAGAGAGGUAUAGCUCUAAACAGUAAAGCUGUAAAGAUAUCAUUACAAGGUCCAGAAAAUUAUGGGAGAAUUUUCCACGUUGUUUGUCCUACUUUCAGAUCAGUAAGAGAUCUCAGACAUGCACAUAUAGCUAGUAAUGUUUUUGUUUAUAAUAUUUUGCUGGAAUUUUUUUUUAGUACAAACGAUUAGGGGAAAUGAACUUAUACAAAUAUUUAUUAGAUGUGUGUAGGUUUUAAAUCUUUGUUCAUAUGAGUGGAGAUAGAAAAACUCAACCAAUUACGCUAUAACCCGCUGAGAAUUUUGCUGGAUAUUUACAUAUGUGAGAUUUGAGAACCUUAAGGGCAUGUUUGGCAGGCUGGACUAAUCUGGACAGUGUUAAAUAACAUUUUAAAACCCACGUUUGGUGAAAGAGGGACUAACAUAAAUAGGAUUGUAUAGUCCACUGAUGAAAAAAUCACCGGACUCGCUCGUCCAAUACUGCGAGGAUGAAAAGCAGUUCGCAAAAUAGCGAGCGUGCUAUUUUGAAACAUCGAGUUCAACCCACACAGCGACCUUCAUGAGCUGCUCCUGGUUGAUGAGGAUCCUCCUCGUUCAUGUCGGGCAAGAUGGCGGUGAGUAGAUCCUCGAAUUCGAUGGUGCCGUUUCCGUUAGCAACAAGGAUGUGGAGCUAGUCGCCGGUGGGCUUGAGGUUGGGAAAGACCUCCAUACCUGCCGAUCUGAGUACAGAAAUGCUUGUGUAAGAAAAUGGGUCGACUAUUCCACUGAUUGCGAUGAUACCAAUCCCUCAUAUCCCUUUUAUGAUUUUGAGAAGAAGGAAUUACAAAAACAAAGCAAGCAGGGACCUUAUUAUGGUUACUGGAUUCGCAGGGUAUGCUACCAGGAAGAAGGAAGGGAUCAAAAAGAUCCCAAUUGUGUUUUGGUAUUUUUUUAAUUUUAAUUUUGUGGUGUGGUUUGUCAAAAGUUGUGGUGUGGGGUUAGUUGGGUUUAUUCUAAUUUUCUCUUUGGAAAUCUGGAAAGAAAGACACAGCCAGAGAGAGAGGAAGACAGACGGGAAAGAAAGGCAGAAGGAGAGGGAGGAAGGAAGAAGGAAAGAACGAGAUAAUGGUUUUUUUAUUUUUUAAAUAAAAAAUUAAUUUAAAAAAAAAUUCACACAUCAACCCCAAUUAAAUAUCCCUAAUUAAAUAUAAAUAUUUUUUAAGUCAAAAUAUUCAAUUAAAUUUAAAUAUUACAAGAAUUAUUUUUUAGUCCGACACAGCACCAAACAUAGGUCUUCACUAUUUUACAAUCUAGCUUCUUAGUCCGACACAGCACCAAACGUAGGUCAGUACUUAAUCCAGCUUAGUCCAAUCCGAAUUAAUCCAAGACAGUCUUAGGAUUUAAUCCAGUUCAUGACAGUCCGUCGUACCAAACGACCCCUAAGUACUAGAGUCAGUCGAAUAUUUGUGAGGUAACCAUGUGGUCAACUGGUCAUCACUUUUUUGUUUCUUUCUGGAGUCAGUCGAAUAUUUGUGAGGUAACCAUGUGGUCAACUGGUCACCACUUUUUUGUUUGUUUCUCUGACAUGUGCGAUUUGGUGAAGAUAUGUUAGAUGGCAAACACAAACCAGAUCUUAUAUUUUUGUAUUUGGAACAUCGACAAAAUAAUUAACAAGCGACAGCCUGCAGCCAGUAUGAGCAGUGACUCUAUAUCAUGUGGGAUUCUCAGUAAGGCGCGGAUCCAAAUCUAACACAGUACUUUCACAUGAUGUUCAAGUACAUAUUGUUUGCUUCUGCUGAUUAAAUAGUCGAGUUGAAGUCGGCAAUUAGCAAGUGGUAUUGUGUAUAUUUCUCUAAUCAUUAAUCUAUAUAUAGACCAAAAUGAAAAAACAACUAUACUUUAUUUUUAAACUCUUUGUAUUAAUUAUAACUUGGGCGAAUCUGUAUCGACAUCAAUAUCGAACCAUCAAUAGCAUGAUAAAUAAUCGACAUAACGUGUCGAUAUGAAUCCCACCUCAGCUAAAUCAUGAGUGCAGAGCAUAUGCACAAAUAAUUAAUUAGAGCUAGACUUCCUAAAUCAUGCAUGAACAUGUUUAAUUAACAGUGAUUGGCCUGCAGGUUUCACAAAACAUCUGUGGCUAUAGAAUGAAGUACGUUGCAUCUAUAAAAGUCGUAUGUGUAUUUUCAAGGCGAUAUCGAUUGCAUGGAUGGUUGUGAAUAAAAGAGGACCAAAAAUAUCAAGAUAUACAUACACCUGCAUAUAUAUAUAUAUAUAUAUAGAAAUGUAUAUAUAAUAUCUAGAGCCACCUGUGUGUGUGGAGUGGACAUGAGGAGAGAGCUCGAGAGAGCGUGCAUGGACUGCUGAUUCCAUGCUUGGAAUGUGCAAUGCAGCCACCUUCCAUGAGUUUAGCUCACGUAGCGGGCCCUCACCUGCCUUUUAGCACAAAUGUGUGGAGCUACCUUAUUAUAUAUAUAUAUAUAUAUCACCUCCCUUUCUCUCCUUUUCACUCAUUAUACAUACAAGAUUCUCUCUGAAUAAUCUCUGCCUUCUCAUAAUCCUCAAGAGGCAUGUAACAUGUAUAUAAUACACACAGAUAUCUUCUUUGAAUGUUUAUUUUCCAAAGGGAAAAGAACAAGUUUUGGAAUAAUUACAAGUUGAGAACUGUCAUUAGAUGAUACGUAUAUAUAAUCUUAAUUACUCAGAGGUUAAUUAGAAGUUUAGAACCUACCUAUAGAGGGCAGGGAAACGUUUGAAAGAUUGAUGUAUAUACGGCGAUAUAUUCGUGUCUGCAAACCAUGUAUGUCUGAAAGACGUAUAUUUAUGUCUGCAGACGCAUGUAUAUAUACCUACAUGUCAUCAGCUACUACCUCUUCUGUGCAUGUACAGCACCAUAGACAUGUAUGGGACAUCAAUUAAAAGCUAAUCUCUUUUAGAAUCGAACAUGGCUUGGACACACACCUUCACACACACACACACACACAUAUCUGUUUCUGUUUAUUUUUCCAUACAUAUAUAUGAAUUAUGAUUCAAACACACAAAAUAUUAUGUUGUGAAAUAUUGAAAUCCACAUUUUGAAAGGGUUCCAAACUAGAAGAAAACUUAGCAAUUGCCUUUUUCUUUUUUAUGCAUGUAUAUAUGUAUAUUAUUGGUAUUAACCCUUAAAACUAGAGAUUGCUCGGUUCAUAUCUUUUAUGCAAUGAUGAUACCAAAACUUGAAUUUGGUGUAUUAUAAAGUAGUGAUGUUUAACAAAUACAUUAUACUUAUGCAUAUACACACACACACAUAUGUAUAUCUAUCUAUAUAUACGUACACAGAUGCAUAUAUGUAGUCGACGAUACAUUUUCGUAGAUAUCUACAAUAUCAAUCCGCAUAUCCACAAUCCUUAAAGACAUGAUAUCUUAUGAUGUGAAGCUGAGAAUCUCUCCUACGCAGGGGCGGAGCUAGAAUUGUAAGAUUGAGGGGGUCGAGAUAGAAAACACAAGUAUAUCAAAUACAUACAAGUGUUCAAAACGCAUGUUAGAACUAAAUUUUUCAAAAUUAGUCAUGUCUAAUUAUUUUUAAAGGGGCCAUUAAUUAAAAUUACAAGUUGUCUAUUAGUAAGUUGUAAGGGAUCAAAAAAAUGGAGGGCUCAGGGCCACUCCUGGCCUAGGAGUGGCUCCUCCACUGCUCCUGCGUCUUAUCUUUAUGAGUCUAUAAAGAGGGGAAGGACUUGAGUUUCAUGAAUUAAAAACCACUAAUUGAUUUCUCAAAUAUACAGGUAUAUCGAUCUUUCGCUCAUUUCUGUUCCCAAAUGGUGAUUUUUACCAGCAAGAAACCUGGCUUUUCCAAGUUGGUUAUGAAUGAGGACCAAGUCCCAACUCUCUCUCUUUAUACAGAAAAUGAUGGGGACGACGAUGAUGACGACGAUGAUGGAGGAGAUGUGGCGCCAGCAGCAUAGUUAUCAUAGAUUCAUAGUGUUUAUGAAUAAGAGUGGCUUAAGCUUUGAUACUUUCAUCAACUUGAGCUGAACAGAACAUUUGGCAAUAUAUAUAUAUAUAUAUAUAUUGUAAAGAAUCAGCUGCAUGUUAUAAAUUUAUAUUCAUAGGGCAACUAUUUUGUAGCAUACCAUAAUAUUAGGUGUAUGCAUGCAAUUUAAAUAAGCAAAAGAUACCUCCGGUGUGCUUAUACAGUCAUACGCACCAGAGCCAUCUGAGAAAAAAGAAGAAGAAGAAGAAGAAGAAGAGGAGGAAGAAUUCAGGUGUCUAUGUUUUACGACUUUUGGUUGUCUGGGGUGCUCUUCCCCUUAUAUCAUCCUCAUCAUGAGUUGGACAGCUUCUUUUUAUUUUGCAAAGGGCCAGAAAGAGAAAAAUAUUACUUGUAUAUGAUUACUGAGAUCAUGUAUGGCAGCAUGCUGCAAUAUUAAAUUUUAAUAAUAAUUAGUGAUAUCUACUUAUUCGGAGUACGUAAUAUCAAUCUCUCUCUCUCUCUAUUAAUUAUGUCUAUCUCCCCGUAAGUCCAUCCAUUAAUAUAUCAUGGCAACUGAAGAACAUGGAUCUUUUAAAGGAUUUCUUUAUAGAGUUAAUUAUCUUCUUGAUCAUUUCAAUUUCCCCCUUUCAGUUUUGUAUUAUGCUCAAGCAUGGAUUUAUGUUAAUUCAUUUUCCAUUACUAUAGCUGAGCAUAAAAUCCGUGAACUGAGUUUAGAAAAUGUAAGUACUGUGUUUUUUUCCUUCUUAAUUAUAUUUGGUUAUCUUGUCUGCUAGGGUUUUUCUGAUUUCUUGGGUUUAUUUUUCUUGAAAUAGUUUGAAAUAUGUGAGGUUUGGUGCUUGAUAGAUUCAGGUUCACUUGUUUUGCAGCGAACGUCAUUCGCUACCUUUCGUUACAUUAAGUUCAUUUUGAAAUUUGAGACAAAUAAGGUAUUGAUUUGUGGAGAACUGCUGAAAUUUUAAUUUGAGGGUUGUGAAUCUGUGAUCAUAACUUCAGCUUGGAGAACAAUGGCUAGAGGAGCUUCGGUACGUUUAUUGCUUUAUACAAAGUUGCCAUAUAGGCUAGCUGGGAAUAUUGAAAACAAGUUGAAGAAAGUGCUUUCCUUGCUUUACUUUUGUCCGCAUCAAAAGGGUAAUUAAAUUUUCUUCCUUUUAUGACUGCAUAGCUGCAUAGUUGCAUAGCCUUGUCCUUUUUCAUGUAUUCUGAAAUUCGUUGAAUGUAUGUAUACUUUGUGUUUGGUACACUUUGUACUAAUAAUAUGCUAAGGCGCAGCUUGUUAUGCUUGUUCUUUUCAACUAUUCUGUGAGCCCGAUAAAUAAUAGUUCAUUAUUUGUUGCUUCACUUUGCCAAUAUUGCUUGAGGUGAGUUACCUCAAGCAAGAGCAUGAUCUUGGACUGCAAAUUUUCAUGGUUAUUAAGUUUGUAGGUCAUUUUAGAGCAUUAAAUCGACAUAAAAAGAUCUAAAUUUCUGUUAUGUGAAGAUUCAUGCGAUAGGAUUAGUGAGCUGCCAAGAAAUACUAUUGUCAUUCAGGUAUUUGGGUUGGAUUGCUCCUUGUUCUUGUUGUCUUUUGCACUUUACAGUAAUUUGAGAACAUUUUUAUCUUCUAUGCAGGCUCAGAAAGCAGAGAGGGAUGCUACAGAUUUAUAAACUUAGAGUUUGGUGAAAAGGUAAAACAUGAAUUGAAGUUUUAAUUGUAGUUUAUGUGACUUCAAAGUUGAUGAAAUAAUAUAUUGGUCUAUUAUCUCUCGUCUUUUGCAGUGGGAGAAGGGAAAUAGCACAUACACCCAACAACAACUUGAUGAACUGAGAAAUGAAUGGGUAGAAUUUGUGAGUCAUCGCAUGUACUAGCUAUAUAUGUAGUUACCUAGUCACUAUUUUGUGAAUUUUGGCUAUAAAUAGUUAGCCCUAGUCACUAUUUUGUGAAUUUUGGCUAUCGAUAGUUAGCCUACCUAUAUGUAGUCAUCAUGGAGUAACACUAUAUGUUGUAUAAAUGUGGUAGGGUUUUGAACUAUGACAGAAUUGUUAAAGUAAGAUGUAUCUUAAGCUUUUAUGAAAAAUGCAGGUUUUUGAGUAUGAAUAGUCCAUUUGGACCUCAAUAUCCAGGUUGUAUGUAAACAUGGGUGGGUUUCUUGUUCCACAGAGGUAUAAAAUCAUCUUCCCAAUAUGCAAAUCCAAAAUAAAACUACGAUUUACCUUAAAAUAGCAACGUAGAAAUAAGUGUAAGUAGAAAUAAGGAUGACACGUCAAAUUUAUUUUUAAAAUAUAGACGUAGUAAGUCUAGAACUACGUCCAUUUUUAUUAUCAAUUUGACAUUGUAAGAUUCAUACUACGUCUACGACACAUACCACAUCGCUUCUCAAGUAAUACUUGACGUAGCUGUUAUUCAAAAACGUCUAUUUUAUUUUAAAAAAGUGACGUGGGAUAAUACUUCCUAUGACGCUUUUUAAGAUAUAGGGACAUAGAAUGUUGUUUUAAGCAUCGAUUUUUCUUCUAAUGGAACUCGAACGAAGUUGCCUUUGGACAAAAAACGACGUGGAUUAAUAUAUUGCACGGUGGUGAAUCACCGUCGUGGUUAAGGUUUUUAAACCAUGUCGGUAGAGUAGACAUUGCUUUUUCACCUUGAACCACGACGGUUUUCCACCGUCAUUGUUUUCAAUUUUUGGCAUAGUGUAUAUUGCCUCGAUCGUCAUCGUAUCGAUUAGUAACACCAAAAAUACAUCAAGAACUUAUAGGAGAAUAUUAACCUAGCUAUAUUUCAGAGUCAGAAGAUAAUCUAAUUGCUUUUGUUGUUAUAUGCCCUUUUCUUUCACAUAUAACAACUAGCUAAGGCAAUAUCUAAUAUUUAUGAGACUUGCUAUAAUCCUAUCAUCAUGCUCUAACAGAAUCUAAGUUUAUUUUUUUUUUUCUCAUGAAACUUACAAAAGCUUGAGAUCUCUAAACACACCAUUCCACCUAAUCCAUCUCAUACAAUUUGAACAAAAGUAUAUGUGGGUUGAUUAACCAUAUAUAGUCAUAUAAUAAGAAUAUAUGCAUGCAUAAAAAAGAAGUGUCAAUAGGAAUGUAAAAAAAAAAUUUGAUGACUAGCUAGGAUUGUAUUGGAUUGGAAAAGUCAUUAAUCUAAGAUAUGUUGUUAAAGGAGGAAAUGAAGGUCGGUGAAUGAUUUUUCAUUUUGGGGGCGAUUAGGAAGGAUAAUUUAUAAAAUGUUGCUAUCCUACCAUUUUGUGGGGAUUAUGGGAUAAGUUUUCUUCAUUUUUUUUAAAUUUUUUUUUAGGACCUUUCCUAUUGAAAGGGACGAUAAUUAACAUAUUAAACUUACACACACUACAUGGAUGUUAGGACUCGAACCCAAGACCUUUUUUGUGAUCCAAACCACUACUAGUGGGUCCUUUACAAAUAAGUUUUCUUCAUGAGUAAUCUAUUUUUUACCUUCAACAUGACCAUGGGUUUUUCAUUUCUUCCUAUAAGACCAUCCACAAUGGUAAGGUGUAUAUUGAGGUGUAUGUCAAAUAUACACAUUUGGUUGCCGGAAUGUCCUGCAAUGGGGAGGUAUAUAUGGCUAUAAAUGUACAUCACAACCAUGAGAUGAGAAAAAAAGAUACAAAAAUGUACAUCUAAUUUUACACCCAGCCAAGUUGGUCCCGUAACAUAAAAGCCAAGAGAGAAGAGAGAGGAAAGCUAAAAGAUGGGGAAGUUAUUAAAAUGGUAGGCUCAUGGCGUGGAAGUUCUUCUCCAACAAAUCUCUAAUAUAUGGCCAUAUUUCAUUCAAAUUGAAAUAUGAAACUAAUAAUUGCACUGAUCAAUGGUGAAGAAUAAAUUCAUAUCAAAACUGACGAUUCAUAUUAAUUUUAUUUACAUCAUAUUGAAUGAAAUUAUAUCUUAUCAGAAUUUUAAAAUUUUUAAGUCGAUUUGUUCAGAAAAAAUAAUUAAACCUAACACACACAAAAUUAACCCCAAAAUAUUAACAUUAAAAAAAAAUUUGACACAAAAAUUGAAUUAAUACAAGAAAAUCGGAUUUACAUCUUUGAAUCUGCAUCCAACUCAUUGGAGCAAAAAUGAUAUUUGCAUCUCCUGAAGGUGUAAAGGAGAUGUAAAAGUGGCUUUACACCUCCCCAUUGUAGAUGCUCUAACAUACUUAAAAUAUAGGAAGUUAUCAUAUCCAACCCUCGCUAGACAUCAAAUGAGCCCAAAAUUUCACCCAAAAAGAAAUUGGUAUACAUAUAUAUAGUGAUUUCCAAAGAAAAAUUUGAAUACGUUGGGUUCAAUCUCCAAAAUACAAACCACAAUGAAUAUUUUAGAAAAAGGGGUACGUAAUAUCCAGCGUGGCAGACGAGCUGGAGGUGACAGUGGAGCCUGAGAGCGUGCAUGGACUGUUGAUCCCACAUACCGAAUGCGCAGCGCAGGCACUUGCCAUGAGCCUAGCAUACGUCGACAGACCUACAUCCCACUAGGAAAAACGUAUGGAGGGCAGCCCUGCCAUGUCAUCGCUCCCUCCUGUUAGCGCCAAAUUUCGUUGCCCUUUUCAUGUCAACGUGUCCAAUAUCAAGAUCUCAAACAAAUUACAGAGAUCGCAGAAGAAAGCAACAUGUCUGUUGGAAAGGAUAUGGAAUAAGAAUUUGCAUAUGCCAAUAUGAUGAUAUUAUCCCUUUCCCUAUUAUAAAUAUGCAGACAUGUACUGGUGCAGUCUGCAACUAGCUUCCGCAUACACACUGCAUGCUUAUUUAAUUUCUUUGGUCAAUUUCUUAGGUAAGCAGGUCCUUUUUCUUUUUCUUUUUUCUAUAUAAACCCUAUUUUAUAUAUGUCAGUUGCAAUGGUGAGUGUCAAUAGCAAACAGUUACUUGCUGCUUCCAAGUUGGUUUUUAAAAAGGAGGAGCUGUCCAAGACACAGUUUCAUGUUCACCGGAAGAAUGAUUGGGAUGAUGAUGACGACGACGACGACGAUGAUGCGGGCAGUGUUGCACCAGCCGCAUAGCUAUAUAUAUGUUUAUUGGCAUUGAGAGAAUUUGAGGCACUUCCCAGCCUCCUAGGAGUGAGCUUUGACACACUAGUUGAACAAUGUUGUGCUUUGGCACUAGUUGUCUCAGUUAAAGAUUGUUUUUUGUUUUUAAGGAGUUUCAAAUCGAGUACUAUUAGAACAAAAGAGAAAAACAAGUUUCUCGACUCCCUCUGCUAGCUUGUCUUGUUUUUAAUAGUACGUUGACUGAAUAUUAAUCUAAGCUUAAAGUUCAUUACAAAAUCCGAAGUUAUCUGCUUGUCUUGUUUUUUAAGUUUUUAAUGUAUAGGGCCACCAAUAUAAUAAACCACUUCAUUUUGAAAGGCCGAAUAACCAUGCAUAUUCUGAGUCUGUGAGGCAAGAAAGCUCAGUAAGAUUAAGAUAUUUUAUCAAAGAACCUCAGCAUAGAUACGGGAUAGUGAUUGCUAUAAUAAUCAAUAUCAAUUAAUAAACCUUAACACCUAUCAAUGUUGUUUCGAAAGAUAUAUGUGUAUGUGCGCGCACGCGCGUCUCUUGUGGUAGGUACACCAAUCCAUAUUGCAAUGAGUUUAGCUACUAUUCGUCAAUAAUUAAAUCACCUUUAGUUUGUCUUUCAAAUGGUAGCUUGUUCAAUUCAGAAAUAUAGCACGAAAGAUCAUUCAUUGAAAGGUCUUUUUAAAUACCAAGCUAUGGGCUCAAUUAUAUUUUUCAUGUACUCUAACCACAUGUCUAAUUCCAACAUGACCAAUUAUAUUAUCACUGACAGAAACAAAAAUGACAAUGCCUUGCCUACUCAACUAAUUGGGGUCUAAAUUUCAGAAAGAUUCUUGGGCCGGGUUAGAAUUUUCCAAUAUAUUUCCAUUUUGAAAGAAAAUGAAGUUUUUAUAACGAGGAGUUACAAUGAGAGAGUUCAAUCCAACAGUUCAAUAAUAACUCUACAUUAAAUCGGAUUGCUACUAAAGACCCCACCCCCUCAUUAUAACCCUCUACCCUUCCUGCACACGAGCGGCAAGAAAUGGGCUUCACAUUGUACACAUGAUCCAGUUUUUCUCCAUUCUUCUUUUAAAGUUGCCCCAUUAAUUAUAGUGAGAACUGGGAUUCUGUUACAUUACACAAGGUAUAGAAGGGCCCAAUUGACAUUUCCUAAAUGAGCAACUGAAUCUGACCGUUAAUCUCGGGGUCGAACAGUCAACCUGUAACUAAAUCCUGCAGCUUACCUUAGAAAAUCCAGACCCAAUUAGUCUUUUUUAGGUCGGCUCAGCAGGCAAAAUUAUCGUCAAAUCAGACCAUGUGAUUUCUGUUUCAUCACUUGAAGCUGAUGGUUCAUGCAAAUCCAGCCGUCCUCGUCCUCAGUUUCUGGGACCUGGAAAGAGCAGCUGACGUGUACCUUCUGAGGACCAUGUUUCUUCUCACUCUUUUUAGCCCACCAAAUGGUUUGGUCUCUACUGUUCAAUUCAAUCUUCCAUGCUGCUUCAACCAAUACCAACUAUCUCUUUCCUCAUUUGAGUCACUUCUCUUUGACAAGUUCAUUAAUUUCACAAGUCUCUGUCUUGCAUUUCCAAAAUUCUUGGGGGGCUUCUGCCAGAAUUCUGGCAAUUUAGUUCUGUUUUGAGCUGAAACUUCUUCAAUAUCAGCAACAACAACCCAUUUCUUGUUUUAGAUUGUUUUCUUUUUUCUUGAACUCAGCAGCUCCAGGGAAAGAAAUCAUGGCUAUGCAUGUGAGCAGUGCAUGCUUUUCUGUUUUUAGUCACAGGAGAGUUCAUAAGAUUAGAGCUGUUGCUUCUGAAAAUGUGACCACAGAGGAUGAUAAGGUGAAACUGGGGGGUUCUGAUUUGAAGGUGACAAGGCUUGGGAUUGGAGCUUGGUCAUGGGGGGACACCAGUUAUUGGAACAACUUCGAAUGGGAUGGUAAGUUGCGGAAAUGAUUGAAAAACUGAGAAUCCCUUUUCAAAUUGAUGCUUUAUUUUGGUUAUAAUUGUGGGUAUAUUUGUUUCAGAUGAGAUUUUCAGAGUUUUUGAGCCAUUAUGUCUUUUCUAUUUUCACUUUUAUCAUUUGGGGAAGUGUUUUUAAUUUUGCUUCACUUUUUACACCUGCAAUUACAAUGUAAAGCCAUCAUCAGCUUCAAACUGUACACGAGAGGAAGUGAGCUAUAUUUGUAUGAUUCAACCUUAUGCAAUGGAAAUUCUUGUUGGUUGUUUGAUGGGUUUUUUAGGUGGGGCAAUAAAUCUUAAAAUUCAAUAUCUUUCUGAAUUGGUUGUAUUGGCAGCUUUGUUGUUAAGAUUAUGAAAUGCUUAGGUAUAUUGGAAAGUGGAAAUUAUUCAAUUGUGUUCAAUAUGGCAAUAUGUUUUGUGUAAAUUGCAGAUAGGAAGAUGAAGGCUGCUAAGUCUGCUUUUGAUGUCAGUGUUGAUGCUGGUAUAACGUUCUUUGAUACUGCUGAAGUUUAUGGCUCCAGGGUAGGAAAAGCGCCCUAUAUUUCCUUUGUUCCUCUCAAACAUAUGCCAUAAAGUUUUAUCAGUGUAAACAAAAAAAUUACUGUUCACUCUUGCAGGCUUCUUUUGGUGCUAUAAAUUCUGAAACUCUUCUAGGAAGGUACGUACUGGGAUAUAUUUUUUUUUUAUAGCGGCUCAUUCUACUUUCUAGUCAACAAAGAGUAAGGCUAAUCAUGGUUAAUUUCUGUAUUUUGAGAACAUUAGUUAUAUAACUUCCACUGAAUUUUACACAGAUUUGUCAAGGAAAGGAAAGAAAAGGAUCCAGGAGUGGAGGUUGCUAUUGCAACCAAAUUCGCAGCUCUGCCAUGGAGGCUGGGUCGUCAGAGUGUCAUUACUGCCCUUAAGGAUUCCCUCGGUCGCCUUGGAGUUUCUUCAGUAGAACUGUAUCAACUCCAUUGGUAUGUCCUUUACGUCAGGGUGUCAUUCUGCUAAUGUAACUACAAUAACUAAUCAAGUGUUUUGUGUUGAUUUUCAGGCCUGGAAUAUGGGGAAAUGAAGGUUGUUUUCAUAACUAAAUUUACUUUGUUUAUAUAUAACACCAUUUUUUUCAUAGAAUAAUUCUCUGUCUAGCUAAUGUAAAUAGAUGGCUAUAUAUAAUAAUCACCUUUUGUUUCUAAAGAGGCGUCUCUGGAAAAAUCAUAUUUCAGGGUAUCUUGAUGGUCUUGGAGAUGCUGUUGAACAAGGCCUUGUGAAGGCUGUUGGUGUUUCAAACUAUAGCGGUACAAAUCUAUCCUUUUAUCUAAUUAUGGUCAGCUGUUCGAAACAUGUCCUUUAUCUUUCUUUCUUUUUUCUUCUUUGUUUUAAGUAAGUACAGAAUAUAUUGACACAUCGAGAAAGAAAUUUACAAAAAUGGAUCCCCUCCUCAACUAAUCUGAACAUGAUGCACAAAGAUCUUUAUUGCAGAAAGGCGAUUGCGUGAGGCACACAAGAAACUUCAAAAGAGAGGUAUCCCACUAGCAUCAAACCAAGUGAAUUACAGCCUCAUAUACAGGGCACCGGAGGAGAAGGGAGUAAAGUCUACCUGUGAUGAACUUGGGAUCACUUUGAUUGCCUAUUCGCCUAUUGCUCAAGGUGAAGUUGGAACCUUGUAUUUUCUUAAUCUAUUUUCAUUUUCAUUCAAUAUCUUAGCUUAAGAAUUAAUAAAAUCAUUUUUAGAAGGUAUAAUAUUUUUUCAAUUUACAGUAUUCAAGACCUCUCUGAGCAAUCUUCAGAAAUUGGGGCUUAAGUUCAUCCUAUUGUUAUCUUUUGUUUUAACUUAAGAAGGGUAUAAACAAUGGAAACAAAAAUCAUUGCUGAGUUAGGAGAAAGCAGGCUUGCUCACUUUUGUCACCGAUCCCCUGAUUCUGAAUUUUGAGCAUUCCUUUUCAAGCAGUUCUUAACUUCAACAUUAUGAGCUUAUUUCUUCUAUAUUGUGUGAUAGACUAGUUCUGGCUCCUAAAAGAAACAGUGAAGAAGUAAAAUUCUCUCUUUCUCGUGCAUUUUUUAAAAUCUUACUGUGUCUUGCUUAUUCUUGAAUUCAACUAUUUUUGGAUAAGUGGUAAUCUUGCUUGGUAAAACCUUUAAAGUGAAAUAUCUAAGAAAAUGGAGGUGUUUGUAUAUCUGCUUUUCUACAUUUAAACUCAUAUUUCACCAAACCAGUACCUUGUAACAAGUGAAAAACAGCUGGGUUAUCCGCCCAUUGCACAGUUUUAUUUUUUAUUUUUUAUUUUUUUUAUAGAAUGCACAGUUUGUUAUUAGGUAAGAAAUUGGACAGUUUUUAGUAAUAAAAGGGCAUGCAGUUAGUCUGAAACAAAAAAUAUGUGAAUUCUUGAUAAAAGAUGUCUGUUGAGGUCUUAUAUUAUCACUUGUAAUCUCUGCACAACCCUGGUUACAAUGAUUACAGCCUUUAAUCUCAGAUCUUAGUAGGUUGGUUUCCGCAGAAGCCAAGUUUUUCUGUCUGAUCCUGGUGUGAAAGAGAUUGAGAAUAUUGAAAUUUCUACUAUUUAUACAUAUGCAGGUGCUCUUACAGGAAAGUAUACACCUGAAAAUCCUCCCACCGGCCCUCGAAGACAGAUUUAUACUCCUGAAUUUCUUACAAGGGUAAAGCAUAGUCAAUACUUUGAAAGCCAGUUACACAGUAAGUUCCAAUUUUAUUGCUGAAAUAUCAUUUUGAUAUGCAGCUCCAGCCUCUGCUGAACCGGAUCAAGGAAAUAGGAGAAAAGUACAGUAAAACAAACACACAGGUUUGUUAAUGCUCUUUAACUAUUGUAUCUUUUUCAAUUAGAAGUCCUCAAUUUUGUCAUUUCCGUGGAAGCAUGGCUGAACAGUAACCAGCAAUACCUAUAUUUUAGUAGUUAAGUCAUGUUAGACGUGGAUACAAUUAUCAAACUCUUGAUAGAUACCAAAUUGCAGGAAAGACAGAGCUCUUUGUUUCACUGUUUUUAGUAUAUGUAGACCAACUCUCUGUAGUUUCAUGCUCUCCAUCAUAUAAGAUCAUAAACCCACAUAUUGAUAUCUUGGACAAGAUUUCUUGAAUGCAGAAAUUCAUAUUUGGGCAAUCUAAUUUCUAACUCGCUGGGAUUUAAUGUGAGUUGGGUUCCUCUGCACAGGUUGUCCUAAACUGGUUGAUAGCCCAGGAUAAUGUUGUGCCAAUCCCAGGAGCCAAAAAUGCAGAACAGGCUGCAGAAUUUGCCGGUGCACUUGGAUGGAAGCUCGACAAUGAAGAAGUCGCUGAAUUGCGCUCUUUGGCUACAGAGAUAAGACCCGUUACUGGUUUCCCUGUUGAAAACUUAUAGAUUUUUGUACAAGCAUCUGAGUUGUAAAUUCCCCUAUACAAGAAUGUGUACACUUCUUCAUAUCAAAUACAAAUAUCAUGUUUUCUAUAAGAAUGAUUGCAGGUUGACCAUUAAUGUAACUAAAUCCUGUCCACAUUUUUAGCCACUUUAGAUCUGUUUGGAGACGCUAUCAUUUUGGUCUUAGCACAAAUUUUUAAGUGCUUGAUCAGAUGGAAAUGAUGUGAUGGAAAAACUAAAUUGUUUUCUUAUUCAGGUAUUACUAGCUUACAACUUUACAAUCUAUUAAAAAGACUAUUGACAGAAUACUUGGAUAAAGACACUUUCUACCUCAAAAGUUGAAAUUGUUUUUCCCAGAUCAAAACAAGAGCAUCAAGAAUUAAGUGAAUAGAUCGGAUUUUGAUCCGAAUCCAACGUAACUAAUAGGAGAUGGAUUGAACUUCUAAAUUCGAUAAUUCGAUUAUAAAUGGAUCCGGAUAUGAAUUAUAGUUGAUUCGAUCCGACUUAGUAUGAAGUAUAAUUUAGUUUUUCUAUGCUUUAUAUUAAUAUUUUAUCUAUGUAAAUGAGUAAUUUUAGUUUUAUAUGCACUUAGUAAGAAUACACUUAAAACUAAAUUUUAUGAUAAAAUAUCAAAAUUUGAUGUAAAAAGUAGAUAAUUACAAUACAAGAACGAGGCUACUAAUGAAACUUUGAUUUCUUGUACAUCUCAAAAUAAAUCCAAUAAUAAUUCAAUCUGAUCCAAAUCCGAUGCGUAAUGGAUAUGGAUUGAUAGGUGCAAUCUGAUAAUCCGAUUAUAAAUGAAUUCGGAUUUGGAUUAAGGUAUAUCUAAUCCGUUUGCAGAUUAGUUCGUCCUUUUUUUCUUUCUUUUUUCCAAUUUCUAACUUCUUUCUUUGUUUAUGCACGGAAAAUAAGCCCAUAAUUCCAAACAUAUUAAUUGGAUUGGAGGAUGAAUAAAUGCAUUUUGGUACCUAGUUGACCAUGUAAUUGCCUUCUCCAGCUACAGACACAACCAUGGACCCAAUUCGAUAUUAAGAGAGUAGUUAUUUGGUAGGCCUUGCCGCCCCUGUACUGAAAACGACAAUAAAUCAAAGCCAAAGGUUCAUAUUAGAUAGCAGCCCUAUCCAUUGCUGGCUAAGAGGCUAUAUUCUCUAUAAAACCAAAAUGACAUGAAUUUAAAGUUCAUAAACACAAGUUUAGUUCCUCAAGCUCAACCCAUGAAGCCUACCCCUUUAUACAUUGCACAGGAUCCUAGUCUCCCCAGCCAAAAAACUACCACCUCCAAAUUAAUGCCAAGAAUUGCUCAAACAAUUCAACAGCUUCUCUUCUCAUUUAGACUAGGGCUUUCCAUUUAGCUAAGUUUUUAAAGGUGGAGAUAGACCCACUUUAGUUCUCUCUCUCUCUCUCUCUCUCUCUCUCUCUUUUCUUUCUUUUUUUUUUUUUUGGUGAAACAGUCAAAUUCAUUGAUAAACAGGGCAAAAACAGAAUAUAUACAACCCCAAAGGAAGGUUCUUGCAAUACAGAAAAUCUAGAAAACAUAAUCAAUCCGGCAUAAACAUUGCCCGACAGUGAGUAAAAAAAAUUCACAUCUUGAAACCCAGCUCACUCGGAGUUAAAGAUGAGGAGUACCCAUAAAAACUGUAGCAGCCAGUGCUUCAAGAAGACCAUGACACAGAACAAUCUCUCAAUCAACUUGGGACAAAAAACACCUUCAAGUGGAGGACUUUACCCACUUUAGUUCUUAUCAUGAUUAACAGGAAGUAUAAAACAGGACCUGCUAGCAAAUUCUGUAGGCCACCAUCCUGCAGUAAAUUCUAGCUUGGAUCAAUAAGUCUGCUACCACCAGCACAUAAGGCAAGGGUUGGCUUGCAGUUGGGGAAGAUUCCUUCCAAGUGAACAAUUGGAGUAAACCUGGUCCAUGCUUCUUUUAUGUGCUUUUACUUUGUAUCUGUCCAAAUCCAUGCCAAGUCCAAUUCCUAUCAUCACUGCAUCCCAAUUGGAACAAGCUUUGAAGAUACCAUCUUUUCUAUAUAUUCUUCUCAGUUAUAUAUUUUCCAAGCACAAUCAUACAAGUUUUGACAACUUUUUUCUUCAUAUUUACCUAAAACACAAUAGGGAGAAGAUUAAUCCUUCUUUCAAUUAGACCUAUCUAUGUUUUGAGAAAUUGUUGUUUUUCCAACUUUUAGACAUCUGAAAUUGAAGAAAAUGACUUUAUAACUUUCAUAGAGAUAAGAAUAAGAUAAGUGCAAAUUUGCAUUGCAUCAUCCAAAAAUCUAAGCAUGACAUAAAAAAUUCCCAACUUGCCAAGCUGUCAAAAACUUGGCCUCUGACAAUCUUGUCCCUCAUCAUUGUCCAAUAAAAUGUGCAGUGCCGAUGCAAACGUGGCACCACCCUCAUACAUUAUCAGAUAGCACAGAUUGAAUGUGCUGCAAGUUCUAGAUUUGGUUGCCUUAAAAUAACCAAUCCCCCAGUCGUCCAAUUCUAACCAUCUACAUUUUACAGCACUCAAAGCUGACCCAGCCACAAGUUUACAGCAUGGCACAAUUGGGCAACUGCCACGUGGAAUGCUAUCAUGGGUUUCUGUAGAAAUUUGAAGCUCUGUGUUACUAGCCAAUCUCUGCUCUGACCUCUGUGACAAGUCCCUGUCCUUCUAACUGUUGUUAAAAGAGUUUUUGGUCCAUUCCCUUCCCAGUUUCUAGUUGUUCUUCUAGCUCAGCUCACACACAAACACACACAGAGAGAGUGAGAGACUUGUGGUGCUUUCCAAAACAGCAAUUUAUACACUGUAGGCUUUCAGUUUCCACUUCAAGAGAAGUCAGAGCUUGGCUUUUGAUCAGGGUUGCUUUUCUAUUUCAUUUUCUGCUUCUGGGUGCUAUUUUAGUACUCAUUGCCCUUCUGGGUUUUUAACUUUCUCUUCGUUUGAAGAUUUUUUGCUUUUGGGUUUCUUUUUCUAAAAAAAACCAGAAUUUUUUCAUGUCAUAUCAUUCUUUCUCUUUCUUUUUUUUUUUUUUUUUUUUCACUUCUUAUUAGUAUUUUCCCUUAAGUGGUCAAUGAUGUCUCUAUUUUCAAGUGCAGCUUUUUAGUUGAUUUUUCUCCAGUAUUUGCCUAUUUCCAUGGUGGGAUUAUUUUAUUCUGGGUUCCAUGUGACUCUCAAUUUUUUUAAUAAUGAAAAGUCUAAUUUGGGUGGGCUCUUAAUUUUUUAAUCUGUAAAGAGCAUGUGGUGUGGUAAACAAUAUAUUGGGGCUUCAUUUCAUUGCUUCUCUUAUUCCAUUUCUUAGUACAGUUCCAUAUUUGGUAUGCUGCAACAUCUUUUGUUGGUUAUUGUUUGAUUAUUAAAUUAGUUAGUCAGUUGACCAACUAAUCAAUUAGUAUUUUAAGUUGGUUUCUUCUAGAUGAGGUAUCAGAGCUUCUAAAUAUGGUUAUCAAUCAUUUACAAUAAUCUAAAGUUGUCUUCUUGCUUUGUUUUACAGAAAUCCUGUCUGCUGAGACAUGAAUUCUUGCAUUCCUGACUGGAAUUUUGAGGCUGAUCUCCCUUUGACCAACCAAAAGAAACCCAUGGGGUCUGUACUCUCUUAUAUAUCCUCAAAGUUAUUGCCAGAUUACUUGCCUGACUAAAAUAUUAUGCAUUUUGAACUUGUUGAACUAUCUUGAUUGGGUGGCAAAUUAUACAGGCCAGACCAUGAACUAGUAGAGCUCUUGUGGAGAAAUGGACAGGUAGUUUUGCACAGCCAAACGCAUCGAAAACCGUGUCCUAAUCCUCCUAAUGAGGCCAGACAAGUUCAAAAACAAGAUCCGCAAACCAUAAGGGUUGGUGGAUUAUAUGGGAACUCAAGUAAUUUGACUCAAGAUGAAGACACAGGUUCCUUGAUCCACUACCCUCUUGAAGAUUCCUUUGACAAAGAGUUCUGUUCCCAUUUUUUUUCUGAAUUGCCUUCCUGUGAUCCAAUUGAGAUUGACAAGCCAACCAAACAAUUUGAAGAAGAAAAGUUUGCUAAGUUUGGUGCUUCUGAUACCCCCCAUCUUGUUUCCACUGCCCCCCAACCUAAUGUUAAGUCCCCUGCUGGUAUGGGAUAUCCUGCAAACCCAAUGCCUCCUCCAAGAUAUCAAUACAAUAACUCAACUGAGCAAAACCAAAAUCUAGUAGGCUUGGGGAAAGUAGUUAAUUUUUCAACAUUUGCUACCCCAGGUAAGGGUGAUAGAGGAUCUUCCAGAGGAAAAAUAGGAGGGAAAGAGUCUGGCAAUUUAACUCAGGCGGAGGUUAAAGAGUGUUCGGUAAUGACCGUUGGUUCGAGUUACGUUGGUAGCAACCAAGUUCUAAAUGACUUUGAUGUGAGCAGGGCUUCAAGCAAUUGUGAUGGGACGACUGGUUUAUCUGUUGGACCCUUCUAUGACAAUGUUCAAAAGAUGAUGCCUCAGAAUGAGAGAGGGAAAACAGAUACACUAGACCCAACUCUUACUUCGUCUUCUGGUGGUUCUGGUAGUAGUUUUGGCAGAGGAGGAAAGCGGUCUAAUGUUGUCAAUAGCAACAAAAGAAAGGGUAGAGAUGCUGAGGAGUCAGAGUGCCAAAGUGAGGUAAAAACCCUCUCUCCAAUACAUUGACUGCUUGUAGCAUCACUGUCUUUUCACCAUGACCAAUAACCUGUUUAUGUUUUAGGCUGCUGAACUUGAGUCAGCUGCAGGAAACAAGUCAGCACAACGGUCUGGAUCAUCCAGGAGGAGCCGUGCUGCUGAAGUCCAUAAUCUCUCAGAAAGGGUAUGAGUUUCCUAUCAUUUCAUAGUUUUGGAAUUUGUGAUUUUGUUGCUGUAACUUGUUUUUUAGUUACACUAUAACUUGUUCAUUGAUGCAGAGACGGAGAGAUCGGAUCAACGAGAAAAUGAGAGCAUUGCAAGAGCUCAUACCUCAUUCUAACAAGGUUUACUUUCUUAAAGGCCAUUCAGUUUUUUCUGUCUGUAAAAAAAAAAAAUACCGCCGGCACUCACAAUAUCUUUCUUUAUUCAUACUACCUAUUAACUUGUUUUCUUUUCUCUUGUAGUCUUUCAAUUUUUAUGUAAUCAUAUAUUGUUCUGACUGAAUUGGUCCUUAUUUUUCAGACAGAUAAAGCAUCAAUGUUAGAUGAGGCAAUUGAAUACUUGAAGUCUCUUCAGAUGCAACUUCAGGUACAAUGGCACCUCAUAAAACUCAAACUGGUCCUAUAUUGUUUGUAGCUCAAGCUACUAAUAACAACUUUCCUUGGUGCUUCAGGUAAUGUGGAUGGGAAGCGGGAUGGCACCAAUGAUGUUUCCAGGCAUGCAGCACUAUAUGUCCCGAAUGGGAAUGGGAAUGGGAAUGGGAGUGGGAAUGGGACCACCAGCCUUGCCUUCAAUGCACAAUCCGAUGCAUUUACCCAGAGUCCCUCUAGUUGAUCAGUGCAUUAAUGUGGCUCCAGCAACAAACCAGGCUGUAAUGUGCCAAGCACCGGUCUUGAAUCCAGUUGAUUAUCAUAACCAGAUGCAAAAUCCCGCUUUUCAGGAGCAGUAUGCGCGUCUUAUGGGCUUCCAUCAUAUGCAGACUAUGUCUCAGGUUUGUGUUCUUUGUCUUGAAUUAAAUGUUUAGUAAUAUAGUGGUUUUGUACACAAGUAAAUUAUUCGCCAUUCGUGUCUUGUUAGACAUGCUUUAUUUUUUUUUUCUAACUGUAUUGUUUUCAUUUUAUCAUAUCCAAAUUUUCUUGCAGCCUAUGAAUAUGUUCAGAUUUGGCUCCCAGCCUAUGCAACAGAAUCAGAUGACAGCACCAACUGGCAUCAACAGUGGACCUUUAGGUGGAGGAGGUACAGCUAAUGAUACUUUAAGUGGCAAGAUGUGUAAGUCACUUCAUCAACCACUUAUCCUUAGGUCACUUUAUUGAUUUCUAAGACUCAGAUUUGCAAACAAAGUAUGUGGAAAGUUAUAUUGAUAGGCCAGUAACUGACUGCUCCUCCGUCUUUGAGAUAAUCAUUGUUUACAAGAAGCAUGCUUAACUUUUCAAACUCAAAAGGGAGUAACUUAUGUUAAAGAAACCGUGUGAACCGUAGUUUGUGGAUUCUUAUGUUUGAUGGCUGUCAAAAUCAGGGUCUAUGUAGCAAAUUGGGGUGAACUUAUGAAUAUUUCCUAUCUUAUCUUCGUUUCAAUCUCCCAAUAAAGUGAAUGGUCUCAAACUUCUUCCCUGCUAUGAGGGUUUGGCCGCAUAUAAUCUUGCUGUGCACAAUUGUGGCUCAUAUUAUCUGCUAAAAUAGAGGCCAUUAUGUCUUCUUUUAUUUGCUUACACUGAAUUCUCCUUUUAGCUGUCAACAGUCCUGACGCUGAUGCUCUUUAGCUAUAAUUGUCAUUUUGACAUGUAAAAAACUGUUUUGUUUUUGUUAAAUCCUUGAUGCCAUAAGUGUCCCUGUCAUACUAAUUUUAAUGGACACACAGCCUUUUUCUGAUGUUAACAGGUUAAUCAGUGAGUAUGCAUGCUUAUCUCCUCUCUAUGGUCCCCUGGCUUAUUUAACAAGAUUAUUUCAAGGUGGCAAAAGUUGUUGUGUUGAAUAUAUUUCUAGCUCGCACGGUUCGCAUGCCUCCCCAACCAGUGAGCGUGACGUACGAUCUUACAGCGUAGUUGAGGUGAUCGAAGAGUCACUUCUCCUACGUACAUGCCAAUGAACAACUACUGCAAGAGUUCAAACAUCCCAAGCCUAGUUGCGCAGCUUCCUGAAUUGAGUUUUUGACUCUGGUAAAAAGUAAAAUAGUAUUUCAGUUCAUGUCCAAUAACAUGUAUAAAAUACAGGCAUUUUUCUGCUCAUUGAUGUUCUCUUAUAAAAAUAUGCCUCAAUUUUUUAAUGGAUAUUGAUGUUUCCUGAAGUGUUUCUUUGUUUGCACCUUUAUGCUUAUGCUUUUGCCUGUGAUGGUUUUAUCUGUCACUGUAAGUAACUGGAAAUGAAUAAAGGAAAAAGUUGAAUCACUGAGGCUUUUCUCUUUUACAGUUCAUGUUCUGAAAUAUUAGUCCAUUUAUGACCUGUUGUUUUCAAGGUUUGAAGAUCAAAAGGAAUUUGCUGUACCACUCUUUCUCAAGCUUUAUCUUGUUCUUUACAAGUCAAGCUGCAAUUAAUUGAAAGGUAGUGGUGUCUUGGAAUCAAAAUAAAAGCAAAGCCAACUACUAUCUGCUCUGCAGAUAUUGGGGAGAAAAACUUGUAUAUAACGGGGAUAAUACUAUUUUGCUAUUUCCAACCAAUCAUGUUCCGCCACACGUAAUAAGGAUUCUAAUUGGCUGAGCGUGAUUGGAUGGGGAUAGCAAAACAAUGCUAUCUCCGUGACAUGCAAGUCCUCGAUAUUGGAGUACCCUUUUUUUUAUCUCUAACUCCAUGUUACACGAGUCAUAAAACUCCAAGAUCAAGCACAUGGCUUGCAGGGCUGAUCCUUUAUUGCAUAAUUUGACUUGGAGCGCUCCUUCAUUUUAUUUAAUGGUGGAACCUAUGAACAUGGAAACUUUCCAAAAUCUGAUUAAAAUGGUGUGCUUUGUGCUUCUCACAGAGUCAAGUAUACAACUUGUGCUUCUGUAUUUCUAGCAUUUUGAUCUUCAAGUCAACAACUGCCACAAAGAUUAUGUCUCCUCCUCCCUACCCUUUUUCUGUAGAUGCUUUUCUUUUCUGGUUUCCAAUUGUUUCACCAAGUUCAAUAAUUGGUCUUGAAGCAAAAAUGUCUAAUUAUGUUUUAUUCAGAUUAACAAGUUUGGAACCAACGUGCCUUUUAGCUUAAGUACCGAGAUUAGUUAGUGAGGAGAUAAUUAGGAGGUACGAUCAAAUAUAAUAAUGACUUACAAGUGCACGUGCAUGACUCACAUAGGUCUCCCACUAUCAUUAUAAAUAAUUAAUAAAUAAAAUUAUUUGAUCAAAAUGUCAUUUCCUUUCCAGCAAGAAGGAUUUCUGCUUUCUCCGACAUGUAUAAGAUCAUCAUUAUAUUCUAUCAAGUGGGGUGGGUUUCAUAUUCAUCUUUCCCAAAUUCCAACUCACUUUGGAGAACUAUUUGAUCAAUCACAUUAACUGAUGACAUCUAGCAUAAAGACGAGACACAAGUGAAACUCACUAAUGUGAGCCGGUAAGUUAUAAUUAACAAUGUGAUCAGUAACUAUCGUACAUAUAACGUUACGGUUAAUUAUACAUAUAUUAUUUUGAUAUCUUAUUAAAAUUGAUAUGUUUUCACCUUCCCCAAGUUGUAUCUCUUUGUUUUUUUAAUGGCUUUUGGGAUGAGGGUUGGGGGUGGUCCUUUUUAUAAUGGGCAGAUUCCCCUUAUAUUUAUUUUAAAUGAAAAUAACUAGGCAUCAUCAUCAUGAAUUCAAGACUAUUGCUUCCGUCAACAUAAGGUGGUUGAGUUGGUAAGGAUUGUUUUUUUUGCUAUCAAGGUUUAGAUUCAAAUUCCGCUGUCGACAAUUCCUUUUAGUUGGUAACCUCAAAGAGGCCUUGGUAUACCUGAUCUUGAGAUGGGAAUAGCCUUCCCUUCCCCUAAACUUUUUGUUACCGAAAAAAACAAGACUAGUGCUUCCCAAUUAUCAUGGGCCCCACAAGAAGAUCUAACCAUAUAAGCAGAUAACAGAAGAUAAAAGAUGUCAAGGGCCAUUUGAAGCUAGUGGCAAAAGCCAGCUUUCUUUUCUUUUUUCUUUUUUAAAUUAAUGAUUAUUAUUAUUAAUAUCUCCUCAGUCCCCACUAUAUAUCUUUUUCUUGAUGUUGGAAGGUGGAUGAAGAUUGAUGUUGCCGGCCGCAGCAGAUUGGUCCCAUUCUUGCAAAACUUGCCUACAGCCAACGUAGUUCAUGAACAUCUUUUUUCUUGGCUUCUGUCUUGUCCGCAAGUUGGAGGGACUUGAGAUAGUAAUUUCCAGUCAUGUUCACUGCAUUAAUCAUCCCGAUCAUUUAUGCCCCACUUCCAAGAUUUUCACUUCAUUCUGAAAAUCAAUUGAUUUUUCCUCUCAAUCAUUAGCCUUCUUUCUUUUACCACCUAAUAAAUCAUUGGUUGAUUUUUUGUUUAUUGCCAACACCAAAUCAUUGGUUGAGUUUUUUAGGUAAGAAAAUCAUUGGUUGAUUACUACAUCAAUUUGAAUAAUUUUAUAUACACAUUUUUUUUUUAAGUCACAAGAAAUUACAUCAAAAACGAACUUUCGAAGCUACUGAUUGAGCAAUCCUAAUCGAUUUGUGGUUAGGGUUCGAGGCUUGAGACUUGGAUUUAGGGUUUGGAGGCUCAAAUCAAUUUUUGUAAUGCUAAAAUCAUUUUCUAAUAAUUGAGACUGUUUUUAAAAUAUAUUCAGAAAUUAAAAAUAAUUUUAAUGUCCACAAAAUUAUUUAAGAUAAGUAAAUAUAACUAAUUAUGAUUUAUUAAGUAAUUUAUGGAAUUAAUUAAAAUACUUCAAUACUAAUUACUCAUUAAAUAAAGAAGAAUUAAAAUAUAAAAAUUGAUUAAUAUAAUUAAAUAAGGCUAAGAUAUUACUUAAUUGCGACAAACUAAUUUUGUAUUAAAAAAAUAAAAAAACAAAUUCCACAAAAUAAUUUAAAAUAACUAAUUACUAUUUAUUAAGUAAUUUAUGAAAUUAGUAAAAUAUUUAAAUACUAAUUAUUCACUACUGAAAUCUAUCUAUAUAUAUAAAGCAAAAAGCAGAGAAUUGUGAAACAUUCAAAUUACUGGAAAAUGCCCUUGGUUAAUGCAAACAUUAAGAAUUCAAAUUAUUAAUUAAAUGAGGAUAAUAUGGUAAAUUCACACUUUUUCAUAUUUAAAAAAAUUAAAAGAAAAAGAAAAAGCAGAUAAUGGAUCCUAUUUUUAUGGAACACAACUACCCAUUAUCUUUUUUAAUUCUAAAAUAAAUUUACUUAUUUUUUUAAAAAAACCUCUCGCAAGCGCGGAAGCGCAUGCAGAGAGGCUAGUAAUAAUUAAAGCAUAAUUACUAAUUAAAGCAAUCAAAAAAGGCUAGUAAAAACUAUUUUGUGCAGUAUCGCCGAGCGGCUAUACUUUUAAAAUAUUCGUAUAUUCAAAGGGUAUCUCCGUGCGGAUAUGCUAUUUCAAUAUUAAUAUAUAUUGCCAGUACAGUCGUGUGGCUAUACCCGUAAAAUAUAUUCGAAUAUAUAUUUUGAAAGUAUAGCCGUACGGCUAUAUUUUUAUUGAUUAUAUCUAACGAGUGUAGUCACGCGGCUAUACUGUUAAUGUAUUCGAAUAUAUUUUACGGGUAUAGCCACGCGGCUAUACUAUUUAAAUAUUAAUAUAUUUUAAAAGUACAGCAGCCCGGCUAUACACUUAAAAUAUUUGAAUAUAUUUAACGAGUAUAGUCGCGCUGUUAUACUUGAACAAUUUAAUGUCAUGAAAUUCAGCACUCCAUACAAAAAGUCAGUAAUUAACAUUUUUACAAUUUGGAUUUGGAUUGAGAGGAGGCAUGACUCUAAUUCUAAUUAUUUGAAUUUUCCAUUUUUAAUAACAACAAAAAUAGUAGAUGUGUCUAUAUUCUAUAAUUUCUUCAAUUCAUGAGCAUUUGUUACACACAUUAGUUAGAGAAUAUAUUCCAUUCCUUCUUCUACCUUGGUAAAACCAUUCAAACAUUUCACUGGUUUCUGGAAAUCAAAAUCACAACAAAUGGUGUUGGGUUUUGAAAAUAAAGACCAAAGAUGAAAAAGGCUGGAAACUUUUGUCAAGUGGGCCUCUUAAGGCUUCAAUAGACCCAAGCAUGGGCCUCCUUAGCUAACAGCAUGCUUAUAAAAGAGGUGGCCUACUAAUAUUAUUAGUACCCCUCAACAACCCUACCCCAUUUGUAUUUGCUCCUCAUACAGCACAUGCAACAAGUGUAACAUGUGGGGGGAUGUUCACCUUUUAAUUCCACGUUUUUCAUCAUCUUGUGAAGAUGAAAACUACAUUUUAGGGUCGGUGUGAAGACUAAUUAUACCUUGAGAAUUAGGGUUGGCUAGCCCUCGGUGCUGGUUUAGAUAAGAAGGAAAGAUCGACAAAUUUGUUUUAGGGUUAUGAUAAAUAUAGAAAGAUGGUUGGUUAGUUUUUAGAGUAUUUUCAUCCAUUUAAAUUGACUGCUGACGUCAUAAUGAUGUCAGCAUUAAGUCAUCUUACCCAAGCAGCAAAGCAGAUAAGUUUUGCCUUGGGGGCUCAAGCUAGUGGAGCUCAGCACUUGCCCUAGCAAGCCUUGGCCGUUGGAAACGGGAUUGAGGGCCUCUUGCCCAGACUAGCUCCUCCCUCUGGAAAUACUCUUAGUGCUAGUUUAGAUAACAAGGAAAGAUCGAGAAAAUGGUUAGAAUUAUUAUAAAUAAUGAGAUAUCUUUUUACGUUAAUGACGGAAUGUGUAUCAACCAAUGCACAGCCGGAGGCCGUACUCACGAAUAUCUUUAGUAAAAUUCAAACAAAAGAUAUGAAGAUUACUUGUUGUCACAUUCGUUCGUGUGUAUAUGAACAUAAAAUGUGACUGGUUUACUAAUGCAAUUAACAAAGAAUGUUGAAGAAGAAUCGGAACUUAUUAAAUCCAUUCCCUAAGUUUUUUGCUGGGCUUUUGAUUUUCUUGCCUUUGGCAAGUUUUUGUCUCACCCCUAGGUUUUUAGGGGCUUAUUCUCAGCCUCUUCGGCUGAUCUUGGCCGAAUCUAAGGCGAUCUCUCACUUUUGGCCUAUGAUGGUUGUGUUGUGUUCUUGAUUUUUGGGCUCUGGGUGGGUGUAGAUCCCCUUUGAUCUAUCUUUUGCGGAGGUGGAGUUGAAGCAUUUGGUGGGAUCUACUAUCUUAUGGUGGUGUGGGAUCGUGUGUGGUGCUGGUGAUGCUGUGACUUUUUUUAAGGUCAAGGUCGAAUUUGAGUGGUAAAUGUUCUUUAAUUUUAGGGUGUUUCCAGUUCCAAAAAUGGAUGAGACCUAGUUCUCUGACACGAUCUCUCAGCACUGGUUGCAGAGUUUCCACUCUGAGUGAGCUUGGAUUAAAGGAAAAGAAAAAGAAAAAGAACAAAACAAAACACCAAAUCCCGGGACUGAAGUGAGCAAUUGGUGAAAGAAGAAACAAAAGAUGGUAAGAAAAAAGGCUGUUUCUGUUUCUGACUUCUGUAAGCGCACAAGGCGAGGAGGAAAGAGAAGAUAUAUGUGUGACCAUAAAUAAAAGAAGAAAGAUAAUUUACUGCAUUUUCAACACGUGGUUGGUUAAGUGCCCAUCAAUCUUCUUCUCCUUCAUGUGGGUCUUUUUUCCCACAUGACAUUUCAUGUUUUCCACGGAAAAGGUGUUUCAGCUUAAAUCACUGGUCCACCAAACUUGGUCGGUGGUGGUGACCCAUUGAGUAAUGAAAGAGCAAUAAUAUGAUACACAUGGAUUAAGGAAAUUUAUCAUAUUAAUUUUUGUAUUUUCACCAAAUCCUUGGGUAAACAUCAGUCCUUUUUUUAGAAAAUGGGAUUUCAUUAACACAUCAAGAAAACACUAUAAGAUGUGACAACAUGUAUACAAGUAGCCUUAUUAAAUUUUUUUUUUGAAGAAAACCCAAAAGGAUAAAAUCUUAAAAUAUAAACCUUUAUUACUGUGGUAGUGUGUAUUAGUAGUUUCAAGUUCGAACCCUUAUAAUACUAAAAUAGUAUGUGUGUGAGAAACCUCUUCCACCUAUAGUUUACACUAUCGCUUAUACAAAAAAAAAAAUCUCAUCUUAUUGAUUUGUCAUUUGCCCUCAAAUCAUGUCUCUCAAAUUCUAAAUUAAUGGUAAUUGACAGCAAGGCCUGACUAGUUCACCUACACAAAAAUGUGAAUUACGUGAAAGUAAGAUACUCCAAAUUCGGGAGUCCAAGAGCGCCAUGGAUUUAAAAGUAAUUUUAUCAUUUUUUUUUAUUAAUAAAGUGAAUUAGUGUUUAACAUAAUAAAUUCAUGUAUGACACCUACACACAAUUAGAUUGUAAGUCGCUAUUAGUUUUAAAUGAUGCAUUUAAUCACUUAAAUAUAAAGGUAACGAACUUUUUGAGUGGUGAUAAGUGGGGCUCCUUUUGUUUCUGAAAAGGCACCAUGUACUCAGUUGAUAGUGAUAUUGAUAUGAUAGCCUAUUGAAUUUGAACCAGCAGAUUGUUGAAGAGAAUUCAUGUGUUUACUUCACUUCAAAAAAAAGUACAUGGUGCCUUUUCAUGAAUGUGGUAUUCUAAUUCAUAAAGAUAUAACCCAUUAGGAAUUCAUCUGUUUUACCAAUUAUAUCCUCACAUAAUUUUAAAAAUUCCAAAUUUGUUAUGUACUUUAACCCAACAAUAAGGACAUUUUAGUAGUUAGCACCACUCCAACCCCAAUUCUAUAUAGUUUAGUAAAGAACUUCAAUAGGACUUUGGAAUCUAAUUCUCCUCAAUCCAUAUGGUUUAGUAAACAACUUUAGUAGGAAUCCGGAAUCUAAUUCUCCUCAAUACAACUCCUCUUCAAUUCAAUUUUUCCUAAUUCAAUUACGGAUUAGUAACAUAUUGAAAAGAAAGGCCCAACGUGGAACCAUUCUUCGUUUCCAACCUAAACCAGCAAAGAUGUAUGAAAAAAACUGUUAACACUUUGGUUUUUAUUUUAUUUGUUUGUUUAAGUUAGGUUUAUAUUUUCUCCAUUAAUUGGGUGGUCCAUCUUGGUGGUUAUAAGUGGGGCCUGAAAAUAAUAAAGAGUUGUCAUGGUAGAAAAAGGUUAGUUGAUUACGACUUCUACAUACAUUUCUCUUUCGAUAUCCUUGUAAGUUGUAGACUAACUCAACUGGUAAUUAAAAAAUAAUUGAGGUCUAUUCAGCAUUGUAUCGUUUUCAAGCUACUCCACUAGGAUUGUGAGGAAUUUAAGCUUGAGACGAAAUCUCUGGAUUCAACAAUGAAUUGUAAGGAGAUGCAAGUUAGUUUGGUUGGCUAGAGCGACGUAUUCGUCCCUUGCACAUGACUCGCGAGCAUAAUUUUCUUUCAAGUAAUUUAGAGUAAUUUAAACUAUCACUUGAUUUUUAAAGUUUGCUUAACUUCAUAAUGACUUUUACAUUGCUCAUUUUCUUCGUUAUGUUUUUCACAUUUCUAAAAUAUACAGGGAGUUUCAGUUGAGGGUUCAUUCAAAUAUGCUUAUUUGAGGGACACCCUUGUAGGCCCCACUCUAUACUGUAUUUCACUAAUCCUAACUAUCUAUUUUGUAGAUACUUAUUCAAAGAUCAUCUUUACAAAAAAUCACUUGAAUCCGAUAUCAUUUAACUAUUCAAUUGAAUUACUGAAAUUUUAGUACUUUCUUAAAGCACCGUGUUCAUUGAUUUUGUAGGACAUAAUUGAAUAUCGAAACGGUUUUUGAUUUGUCCAAUUUUUUUUAAGGAUGAUCUAUGAAUGUAGACUUAAAAAAUAGAUGGUUUGGAUCGUUGAAAAAAAUAUUUGUAGGGGACCCUAAAAGGUGUUCCUAAAAUAAAAUUAUUUGGAGGAUCCCUGAAUAGAAGGAGACUAUAUAUAUAUGUGUGUGUGGGUGACAUGUAAGUAUUGAUUAUUACCACGCCAUAUGAUCAAUGUGAUGUAAAAAUAUGAUUCCUCUCGUAUUAUUCAUUUUCAAAUUCUGACUCCCCUUUUUAUCAUUUUGGUAUUGACUUUUAAGCUCCAUUUGAAAGGACUAUAUGCAAUGUGUCAAUGAGUCAUCUGAAAAUCCAUUUAUUUUCUUUAUUUUUUUCUUAUUCAAAUCUUGUCAUAUAUGAAUGGUAGUGAUCUUAAUCUUACAAUUUAACCUUAUAAUAUAAUCUGAUCCUUAGAUUUGAAUUCAUUCCAUCCAAAUGAAUCCUUACUUUUUCUCUGAUUUCGUACAUUUCACUUUAACUUCCAAAUGUGUUAAGUCUAUAAUGGCAAUGGAAGUCCUAUGUGUAACACUAUAAUUAUAAAUUAUUGGUUAGAUUAUCUUUAGGAAAAAAGAAGGACUACUUUCAUUGUAAACGUUAUUGUCAUGAGAUCUAAAUGUCCACUUACACCAAUUUAAAUAUUUGUGAUUUAGUUUAUUAGUGCCCCUCAUGAUAUAGAGUUUCACAAGAAAUAUGUUUGAUGCAUUACACAAUGCAUGACAAUGAAUUUAAUUAUAUAUAAUAAGGGCUAGAUAAAAUGGUAAACGGUGGAGAAUGGUGGAGAUAGGUGCACGAUUCUAUCUGAGUAGCUAGACUGAUUUUCAUCUAAUUAAUUAUAUGAUUUUUAAGUUUCACAUGAUUUGCAACCUUUCGAGAGAUGAUAUAUUUACUAGUGUUGAAAAGAUGCGUUCUACUUUAAGUAUUCAUUGUAGUUGGUGUUUUAUUAUUCUCGAUCAAUAACACAAUGAUAUGUAGGAUAAUUUUUUCACAUAUCAUACUGUUAUUGACCUAAGAUAGGAAAACAGUGUUAUUCCCAUUACAAGUGUUUUUCCUUAACAUUUCCCUUUUAAAUAGCAUGUGAGAAAAAAAAAAAAGAUCAAACAAACCAAAAAGAAAAAGAAAAAGAAAGAUAUUUGUAAAUUAGCACCAAAAAGUCAUGAUGAGGAUUGAAUGAGAUGAAUUGACCAGAGAAUUGUGUAUGUACAAUGUAUUGCAGAUGCCCCAUAUUGGUUGGAAGUUGGGUCAUGUGGUGUGUUUGUAUAUAAUAUAGAUAAUUAGGUUAGGUUCCGCCUAUAAUUUUAGGGUCCUCUUUGUAAAUGAUCUCUCUACUUACCACACGUUCGGUAAUUAUUGAUAAAUGAGAUUGAGAGUGAGUUAUCAAUCUUGAAUAUAUCACGUGGUUUUAUAAAUCAAGUGAAAGAGUUAUCAAUAUGAAGAGCAAAUUACGCAAUGCGAUAAGUAACUCUCUUUGUGGUGUUGAAUAUGAAAUUUGGAAAAGAACAAACUUAUGAAAUUUAACACUUUUCAAACAGUUUUUUUUUGGAGUUUCUAGGCGAACAACUUAAAUGUGGCAUUCUACUUUUGAUGUAUGUUUAUAUGAUAUAUAUUUUUUUUCGUAAAUUAAAAAAAUAUUAUAUGAAUUCAAAUUCACGAUUGUAACAUAAAAGAAACAAAUAAUAUACAAAAAUAUCAAUUAACUUUACAUAAUGAAGUUUUUCUACUACGUCUUUUUCAAUGGAUAAUAUAGCUAAGCCAUUCAAUAUAUUUUGUGACAUAAUUGACUUGAUCAACUUCAAUUUUGAAAAGAUUCUUGCUGCGGAGGCAACCGUGACUGGUACAAAAUAAUGUAAGCAAUCCAUGCAACUGGGAAACAACGAUAUAAGUCCUUCAAAUAAUUCAACACUUUGAAUUGGCCUUUUUGUAUCUUAUGGUAAAGUUUCUCUCAUGAUUUGUAAUUCGGGGAACAAAUCAUUCCCAUUAAUAAUAGAAAUAUCAUUAUGUUUCAUCAAACCUUCAAGAUUCCUACAACUGUCAUCAUUUGCAGUCUUCAACUUCUCCAAAUUGAAUAAAAAUUCAAAAAUUUCUUCUUAUGUGUGAAAUUGUUCAAAUCUACUUUUUAACUUAACAAAAUUGCUCUCUCAUAGGAAAGUUUCGAGUCCUAGUAUCUGUGUAGUGUGUGUCAGUUUAGUAUAUACCAUCGCUCCUCUCAAUAGAUCUAACCAAAUUAAGAAUUAAAUGAAAUUAAAUGAAAAUUUGAAAAUGCAGUCCACACGUGUAGUAGAUAUGAGCCAAUGUCUAUCUGGAAAAACUGUCUACAAGGAAAUUGUCAAAAUUAAGUUUAAUAUUUUACACGCCAAGAUAAAAAAAAAAUUAAAAACUACCCAAAGUUAGUCAACAUUACCCAUUUCAUUAAAAAGUAAUAGAGAUAUUCUAAUUGAUGACCUAAUUCAUUUUAUAUAUACAGCAUAAACAGCUCAUAUAACAUACUUCUACAACGUAUUAGGUCAUUAAUUUGUACAAUUUUAGACAAUAUACCUUUAUUUUAAUAUAAUAAAAGGAUCGCGUUUUAGAAAUGAAUAAAUAAGGGAGACUGCUUGCAAAUUUCUGUUUGGUGACUAUCAAGCAUGUUUAUAUUUCGGCUUAGUCAAAAACACCGGCCAAAAAACCAAUAAGAAACAAAUAUGAACAAAUCUAGCUAAAAUCAUCACAAAGAGGAACAAACCCGGCUUUGUUUGUACUGUUCUCUGUCUUUUUAAAAGUUUUGCAAUGAAUUGAAAUUUAAAAAAAUAAAAAAUAAAAAAUUUCAGCUCGGUGACUAUCAAUAUUGAGACUGCUUGCAUAUAAAAAUAUUGAGAACUUGGACAUGGACUUGAAAAUUUGAAAAUGUAGAGAGUGAAGACAUCACCAAAUCAGCAUCCUAGGAAAGCACUCGUCAUCACGUUCGUCUUUGGCAUGCUGCGUUUUCUAUUUUCUUAUUUAUUUCUCAACGCAUGGCCAUGAAAGCUUCACGUAAUCCAAAACAAAUAUGUAAAGCAAGUGCGUCAUAUAAAACCACAAAUUUACGGUUAGAAGACUUGGAUAUUUGUUUAGCAUCAUGACGUGUGUUUCUAGGUCAUGUUGUCAAAUAGCAACACACCAACUUUUAUUUUUAUAUAAAAGAAUUAUAAAUUGAUAAAAAUUAUGAUUAUUUUCUUUUGACAUAUAUAUAUACAAGCCUCUCUGUAAGGGCUUCUGUGUCUGCGAAAAGGCUUUUUUUAUUUUUAUUUUAUUUUUAUUUAUUUUAUUUAUAAAUUUUAAUUUAUUUUAGAAUUAAAAAAGAUAAUGAGUAGUUGUGUUCCAUUAAAAUAGGAUCCAUUAUCUGAUUUUGAUUUUGAUUUUGAUUUUAUUUAAAUAUAAAAAAGUGUUAAUUUACUGUAUUAUCCUCAUUUAAUUAAUAAUUUUAAUUCUUAAUGUUUGCAUUAACCAAGGGCAUUUUCUGGUAAUUUGAAUAUUUCACCAUUCUCUAGCUUUUGCUUUAUAUAUACUAGCCUCUCUGCACGCGCUUCUGCGCCUGCGAGAGGUUUUUUUUUAAAAAAUUUAAAUUUAUUUUAGAAUUAAAAAAGAUAAUAGAUAGUUGUGUUCCAUAAAAAUAGGAUCCAUUAUCUGAAUUUUCUUUUAAUUUUAAUUUUUUUAAUAUGAAAAAUUGUGAAUUUAUCAUAUUAUCCUCAUUUAAUUAAUAAUUUUAAUUCUUAAUGUUUGCAUUAACCAAUGACAUUUUUUGAUAUUUUGAAUGUUUCACCAUUCUCUGCCUUUUGCUUUAUAUAUAUAGAUAGAAGAUGAAUCAAAUAGAUGUUUCCCUAGCGGAAAAUAAAAUAAAAUAAUCAUACAUGUCCUAAUUUUACAAGAAAUGUAUGGAUGGAUUGAUAGCUCAUCUAUUUGAUGCAAAAAUAAAAAAGACCACUCUUAGAUUUGUAGUUCAUAACAUACAUGGCCUAGCUAAAAAUAUAUGUGGAAUGAGUGUCAAAUGAUUUUAACGCAAUAAGUUACGUUGUACAAUAAUAUUUUGAUAUAAAUAUAAAACGGCGUAAAUCAGACAAAAAAUAUUACAAAUAUUUGAUACGAAUAUGAAAUAAUUGAACUUGAGCAAUGGGACGGAAAGAAUGGAAAACAACCUCUACUCACACUCAAUAAGGUUAUUCAUUAGUAUUUUAUAAAAGAGCACUUUCUAAAGUGCUUGAUGAAAUGCCUUAAAAAACUAAGAUAAACAUUUGAUCGUAUGUAUAUUCUUGCAUUUACCCAACAAGAACAAAAAAAGAAUUUUCUGAAUUUGCCACUACCCUAACUAGGUAAGAAUUUAAAUUCCAUGCUGCAUAUGUAUAGCAAAUUUACUUGACGUAGAAAAGGAAAAGGAAAAUGAAGAAUAGGAAACAAAAUUCAAAAAAGAAAAUUUCAAAUAAUUUCAUAUCAAUAUUAAAGGCUGAAAGACCGUACACGGUACACCAGUCAAUACACAAAAACCGAAUAUGCCCCUACUUUGCAAAUCCCAGUGUUUGCGCCAAAAUUGGAAUCACAGUCCCGGUAAAUUUCCAAAAUAUCCCUAACACGUGGCAAAUUCUUCCAGCGAGUACACGAUAAAAGCGAUCUUGGCGAGUACAAAAUCGUUUCGUUUCAUCUUCUUCGACAUUUGGCUGGCACAGCGUAGCUGUCUAUAUAAAGGCAGGACAACCUAGACGGUGGAAAUCAAAUUUCGACUCUCCUAUUUGUAUGAAAUUCUGUUUCCAUUUCCAAACCAAAUACUCACCAAAUCCCUAAAUUCUUGUGCAUCCAAAACGCAGCCAAAUCCCGCGUUUCGAUUCCCCGAUCUCUCCAGAGCCGCUGCGAAUUCCGGCGAUUCUGGUGCGUGCUUUUACCGGAGGGAAUUGAAAUCCGAUCGCGGCUGUUUGAAUACAAAGAAACGAGAGUGAAUUUCGAAUCGUCAGGCACAAGAAAGGCGCAUGAGCUGGUUGGGAAAGCUGGGUUUCACAAAGAGGAAAUUGAAUUCCAAUUCUAAUCACUUCAUUACGUGUCUCUUAAUCUUUAUCCUUCAUUAUUCCCCCCAAUUGCCUCUUACUCUGCUUAAAUUCGAGAAGAAAGCCCUCGAUCCAUUAUUAUCAUUAUCCAAUCUUAAUUUUAAUCCCAAUUUUAAUCGUAAUAUCAAUAACGCUUUGAAUCACUAUGGCGUCUGGAGCCAAGAGUAAUCCCCAAUUGCGCAGAGGUCCAAUCACAUUUUCCAUUCUUUUCUCUUCCAAUUUCUUUUUUGGGUUUGAAAGUUCAUUUUUUUAACCGUUUUACUGCUUUGGGUAAUUUCUAAAAUAAUUUUUUAAAUUUUGGAUUGAAUAUUUUUAUUUAAUAAUUUGUACAAAUGCAGCUGUGUGCUAUUCGAAUGGUGACAAGAAGCAGACAUCAGGCGGAACGACGACGUCCCCAUCUGUAAUAGUGAUAGGUGGUGGUAUGGCUGGAGUUUCAGCUGCACGUGCUCUUCACGAUGCCUCAAUUCAGGUACCCUACCCACAUUGAAAUUCCAACUCAAUGCUUUGUACAUUGAAGUGUGCAAUUAGGGUUUUUAAAUUUUUUGAAUUUUGAUGGUCAGGUUAUGCUGUUGGAGUCUCGAGACAGACUGGGUGGUCGAGUUUACACCGAUUACUCAUUUGGUUUCCCUAUUGACUUGGGUGCAUCAUGGUAAGCUGAGAAUGUGACUUGCUUCCUUGUGUUUGGAAUUUGAAUUGCUUGUAUUUGGAAUUUGAGUUGCUUGUAUUUGGCAUUUGAAGCCUAAAUCCUUGAUCUUUGUUUAUGCUUCAGGUUGCACGGAGUAUGCAAAGAGAAUCCAUUGGCACCAUUGAUUGGGAGAUUGGGGUUACCCUUAUACCGCACGAGUGGGGAUAACUCUGUCUUAUAUGACCAUGACUUGGAGAGGUACAUAAUAUCUUCCUUCAACUUAUAGUUCCCUUGUUGUAGGAAAUGCUGUGAAUUUUAAAUGUCAUUUAAGUUUGGGUUGUCGAUAUGCAUUGUUAUGGUUUUAGUGUGGCUUGGUUUUUGUUGGUUGUUUUGAAUUGAAUGGUUCGUACUCGUAUAAGUUGUUUUAUUUCUCCAACCUUCUAGUACUGUGCCAAGAUUUGCUUUUAACAGUUUAAAGCACAACAGUCUACAAUGUAAUAUAUAUUAUUUAUGGUCAAUACAUUCAAGAAUGUGCUUUGAUACAAAUGAUUUUAACACAUUGCUUCAUCUUUCUGUGAAGUUGGCUUUUUGUCCGAGCCUUUAUAUUGUAGGGUGAUAUCUGACAUUGGUAGUAAAUUCAUGUUGUCUUUGCAGCUAUGCACUUUUUGAUAUGGAUGGGAAGCAAGUUCCUCAAGAUUUGGUCACCAAAGUUGGUGAAGUGUUUGAGAACCUUUUGAAAGAGGCAAGUCAUCCUAUGUUUAUUUAUUUGUUUUAAGGCUAUAGCCUUGUGACACGAAAGGUUUCGCUUCUAUCUUAACCCUCAAAUAGUGGCUUGCCAUUGUGGGCAUUCUUUGACAUCAUUUUUUGUUUUCUUAGUGCAGACAGAUAAGGUAAGAGAGGAAUUUAGUGAAGACAUGUCCAUCACUCGUGCCUUUUCAAUUGUUUUUGAAAGGAACCCGGAAUUAAGGUACCAUAAUUCCUCCAAGCCACAUUUAUUUUUUUAUUUUUUCAGCUUUUGACACUCUGUUGGUGUAUAAAUAGUUUACCAAAAUUACUUUCAUAUGUGUCGUACAGGUUGGAAGGAGUUGCACAUAAGGUUCUGCAGUGGUACUUGUGCAGAAUGGAAGGUUGGUUUGCAGCAGAUGCUGAUACGAUUUCACUUAAAUGCUGGGAUCAGGCACGCUUAUCAUACCUCAGAUUACUUUUCAUUACACAUUACACUGUUUGAAUUUUCAGUUCAACUAUAGACAUUGAUAUCUUUGUGCUUAAAUAUGGCAUAUAACAAGUUAAUAACCUCGAAUGGCCAUUAAUUAGCAAUUUUGUUUCUCUCUUAUAUAGGAAGAACUGCUUCCUGGUGGUCAUGGCCUUAUGGUCAGGGGCUACCUCCCUGUUAUAAACACACUUGCCAAAGGUCUUGACAUCCGUUUGGGCCACAGGUAUGCAUCAGUUUUCUUUUUCAUAUUCUCCUAUAUAUGUUCUGCAAUCUGCUUGUAGCUUAAUCAACAAGCAUAUAACUUUUCUCCUGUUCUCAGGGUCACAAAAAUAGCAAGGCAAUAUAAUGGGGUUCAUGUAACAAUAGAAGAUGGGAGUACAUUUGUUGCAGAUGCUGCUGUUGUAGCUGUUCCUCUCGGUGUGCUUAAGGCAAAGAGCAUAUCGUUCGAGCCAAAGCUACCCAACUGGAAGGAAGAAGCCAUUGAUGACCUCGGAGUGGGAAUUGAGAAUAAAAUAGUAUUGCACUUCGAAAAGGUGUUUUGGCCAAAUGUGGAGUUUUUGGGAGUGGUUGCUGAAACAUCUUAUUGCUGCAGCUACUUUCUAAAUCUUCACAAGGCAACUGGUCAUUCUGUACUUGUUUAUAUGCCUGCAGGGCAGCUGGCUAAAGACAUAGAGAAAAUGUCUGAUGAAGAGGCUGCUAACUUUGCUUUUAUGCAACUCAAGAAGAUCCUUCCAGAUGCUUCUUCCCCGGUACUCCUUGUUUCUAACUUCUACUAGACUUUAUGUGAAAUUUGAUGAGUCUUAUUUAUUUUUGAGCUAUAACUAACUUAAUUGAUGCCUUUCCAAUUAUGCAGAUUCAGUAUCUUGUUUCUCGUUGGGGCAGUGAUGUUAACACGCUUGGGUCAUAUAGCUAUGACAUGGUUGGAAAACCCCAUGAUUUGUACGAGAAGCUAAGGGUCCCAGUGGAUAACCUAUUUUUUGCCGGAGAGGCAACAAGCGCGGACUUCCCAGGCUCUGUGCAUGGUGCAUUCUCUACUGGAAUGAUGGCCGCUGAAGACUGCAGGAUGCGUGUUCUGGAGCGAUAUGGGGAGUUGGAUUUAUUCGAGCCGGUCAUGGGCGAGGAGGCCAUGUCCAUCCCGCUUUUGAUCUCCCGCAUAUAACUUUCAGGCCACACCAUCCUACAGAUAUAUGAAUGCGAGUAUUGAAGAUAUGUUCAGGUUGGAUUGGGCGACAAACAAUAUUGCCAUUUUGAUUCGGCUGUCUGGGAAAGGUCGUGGAAAAUCACCGUUUUCCCUUGAAUGAAGCAGCCAAGCACUGGUGUAUCUGUUUGUUGCCCUCAUCUGUUUGGGCUUAUCUGUAUUUGCGCAAUCAUUGGACAAUCACUAAAUGAUAUGAAUCUAGUCUAAUAAAUAGCUAGUGGAAUAUUACAAUAAAUUGUCAUAUUAGAGGUCAAUAUAUCUAGUAUUUAAUUGGUGGGGAGGACGUUACAAUUUGUCAUGUUCAAAUCAAUGUGGGUUUUCUCUCUCUUCUGUAUCUUAUCUUAUGCAUGCUUGUCUGUCCGUUACCCAUAAUUAGAAAGGAAACUUUCUUCAACUGAUUUAUUGUCAGCAUUGGUGGAUUCUCUCAUUGGAUCCAUUAAAAACUUUUAAGGCUCUGUUUAAAGAAUAAUACUAGUCUUACACAUGAUGUGGCAGCGUAUGUACCAUAUCAUGUAAAAACUAGUUUUUGUUUUUCUAAUUUUAUUUAUUAAAAUACGCUUCAUUUAUUUAAUUGAUGUGACAUAUGAUAUGGACAUGUCACAUCAUGUGGUAUAGAAAUAUGAGAUAAAAAUGUGGUAAGUGUAGCCAAUAUAUUUACAAUUUGUGUAUGCCAAGAUUUUGUUGUUGAUACAAACAAUAUUCUACUUUAAUUUAAUGUAAACUACGGGGAGGGAAAUUUUAAUUCGGGUGCAAAGUAGUGAGCAAAUCCGCUAUAGUCAACUUGACUAACCUCAUGUAAUACCAAGAUUUGGACAAGAAAGAUAGGAAACAAAUAAAUUUCAAACGAGUCCUCACAUGUAGUUAUUUCAAAUACAUUCAUGUUCUUGUUUUCGUAGCAAAUAUGGCCUUGUUGCCAAAUUUUCUUUCAAAUUCCAGAUGGGUAUUUAAAUAACUAGAUGUAAUAUAUUUGGAAUGAAUUUGAAAUGACUAUAUCCAAUAGGGGUGGGCAUCGGGACCGGAAAACCGGAACACCGAACCGAACCGGUGAAAAAAAACCGGAAAACAAACCGGUUGACCAAAAAAGUCAACAAAUCGGACCGGAACCGGACCGAACCGGUUCCAACCGGUUCCGGUUCUGGUUUUACAUCUCUCCGCACCGGACCGGACCGAACCGGACUGGUCAUAUAUUUUAUAUUUAUAUUUUUACAAAAUUUUAAAAUCUAAUGCCAUUUUUUAACUUUUAUAAUCACUAAUUUUCCAAGUUCAACUUCAAAAAAUUUCUAAAUGUAUGAAUUGGAUUAUUUGUUCAUUUUUAAGCUAAAAAAAUAAGUUAUUUAUUAUAAUUUUUUUAUUAAAAAAAUUAAAAAAUUUUUUUUUAAAAAAAAAAAUUAAAAAAAUAAUAAAUUAAUAAUCCGGUUCAAAACCGGAACCGGUUAGAACCGAACCGGCCGGUGUUCGAAAUUUUUUUUGUCUAAACCGAACCGAACCAGACCGGUUAAAUAAUACCGGUUUCGGUUCCGGUUUGAGGUGAGAACCGGACCGAACCGGACCGCGCCCACCCCUAAUGUCCAAUGAGUCAUUUGGAAUCCAUUUGUUUUCUUCAUUUCCUUAUUCAAAUCUCGACAUCCAAAUGGAGACUUGAAAUUCUGAGCUAGUUUUCAAAAUUUAAUGUAUCAUUAAUCGAUUCGUAUUAAUAUUGAGAAAAUUGGACGCAGGACAAUAAUCACGUGAUAUUAGAGCAUCUACAAUCAUGCUCUCUAUAUUUUUUUUGUUAAAGUUUAGCUAAAAAUACAAAGCGUUAUUUUAGGAACUCUAUAAAAUUUGAACUCCAAUCAUACUCCCUAGUUUAAGGAGUCAUAAAUACUAUAAUUAUUUUUUUAAUUCAAUAUAAUUAGUCAAUCUCUAUACAAAAUAGGAAGCAUGGUAGGAGUUGUACUUUCCCAAUUCCUCCCUAAAAUUUGUCCAAAAAGGUGAUUUAGAGAGCCUAUUAUGGAUGCUCUUACACUUGAGAGAGAAAAUGAGAGAAUGGAAAGAUAUACAACUCUAGAAAAUGGAUCUUUGAUUUUCAUUUAGAUAUAGUUGCUCAGUCAAAUCACAUAAAUUUACACAGCUGAGCAAAAGUCGACAUAUUUAAGCAAAUGAAUUGCUAAAACCCUGCCCUCCUAAAAAAGAAUAAAAGAAGAUUAAUCUCCGAAUAUUUCAAGUUCUCUGCGUUGCACUGAAAAUUUGAAUUAGCUUCUAUUUCCGUCGCUUUCUUAUUUUCUCAAAACAUGCUCAAAAUAUAAUUUUCUUUCAACUGAUUCUCGUACCUUCCUUCCGAUAGAUGAAUGAGACCUACAAAUUUGAAUAUAAAUAUCCAACACAGAAGUUCAGCAGGCCCCAAUUUCCAAAUCCCUCUUUUAAAGGUUCCUGUAUAUGAAUUAAAUGCUUGUUAGAUUGGUUGCCUUGCUUAAAAUAAAUGAUAUUUAGAACCAAAAAUUACAAAAACGCAUACCCUUUAAUAGAGGGAGGCAUCAGAGAAUGGAGCUGAAGCUUUCAAUGGGAUCAGAUUCUUCCAGCAUGGAAGCUGCCUGGAAGCAGUCGAUGGCGUCUGCUAUUCGACCAUCAUCUCUGUGAAUCAUCCCCAAGUAAUACCAAGCCUUUCGAUUGUUAGGAUCGAUCCUUAAUGCAUCCGAGAGUAAGCUUCUUGCCACAGGCAAUGCUACUGAGCCCAUCUUUGACAGAAGAGCGGCAAUCAAAAUCUUGCACGGAACAUAAUAGGGUUCUAGCAGAAGAGCAUCAAUAUAAGCUGCUAGAGCUUCUUGAAUUUGUCCACGUCCUUCUAAGAUAACACCUAAUAUAAUUGCACAGCAAGUAACUUAACAGUAAACAUACCGCACAUCAAAAUAUCAAAUUGCACUGCUAUACAAGUAAAAGGUUUUUAUGCCAUGAUAGGCUCCCUAGUGUUAGAAGAGCGUGAAAGUGCUGUUAGGUCAUAUAGGCCCUUGUUUAAAACUAGCCCUUGAAAAGUUGAAAGACAUUUUGUCUAAAGCGAGCGUUUUCCACAGGUCCACCGCUUGCAUUGUCAUGUAUAUCACUUAUCAAGAAGUACAAUAUAAAUGCCUCAAAUUCAUUAAUGUAGUAGAUGAGUUUAGUACUUGCCUUCUGUGUGCAGCAUUUCUGCAGAGUGCCGCUUCAGUUCACUGGCUUUACUCAAACAUAUUUCUGCAUCCUUCCAAUGUGAUAGGCUAGAGUAUAAGUCUGCCAAACCAUGCCAAACUUCGAAUUCAUCGACUUUAUCAUCUUCAACCUAUCAAAAAGAAAAGACCAACAUAAACUUAAAAGGAACAACUUGUUAAUCAGGAGUUCCUACUAGUAUAUAUUUUCACGUUGAGCAAGAAUCUUUAACAAAUAAUUUCCGAGAAAGCAACUUAACCCGGCAUUCACUUACAAACCUCAAGAUCUAAAAAGUCAACUCCAUAAAACAAUCAGAUACUUCAAAUUUCUAAAAUCUAAACUACUAUCACAUUAAAUUAAACCAUUGUAGAAAGAAAUGAUUAAUGGGCUAAACUUCCUCCCAGGACAUUGCAGACUCACAAUAAUACCACUUUCCCACCACUACCAAUAAUAGCUUAGGGCUACAUUUGGCAGAAAUUUGAAUAGUGAAGAAUGUAAAGCAGAAGUCAGAGUUUUAACCUGAUUACUAAUUCUGAGAGGCCCAAAAGAUUUUCUUUGGGCUUGAACCAAUGCAAGAAGGUAACGAUAAGUUUCAAUUGCAUCCAUGGGUAAUGAUUGAGAGAUUUUCAGCUUUGCUUUAAGCCUGAGCAAUGGCCCUUGUUCCCAUUUUGCGGUCUCAUCCAAAGCAGCAUCAGUGACCACGUGAGCCUCUGAAUAUCGCUGUUGAGCAGACAAAACAAGAGCAAGCAAUCUCCAACCUUUUAUUAUGGAGCCCCCUGUUCGAUCAAUGAACUGUUUUGCAUACCGCAAAGCAGCAUUUAGAUUCCGAUGCUCUGCAUACUGAACACCCAACUCAAAAAUCAAAUCUAAAUUAUUCUGCUCCAAAGCAAUGGCUUCAUUUAGCGAUUUCAGUGCUUCAGACUGAAGCCGGGACCUCUCAAAGUCAGAGGAAGAAACUUUUGCUUGUUUCCCCAAACAAAGACCCAACAAGCGAAGACCCACACCCUUUAAAUGUUCAUCCAUCCCCUGAGCACUGCUAAUAGCCCUUUGUGCAUAUCCCACUCCCUCAGCCGCAACAUGGGAAUCCUCACUGCAGGUUUUGGCGGCUAAUAACAAUGCUGUGAGUUCAUCUGGUCGUUCAUGUUUGUGUAAAGACUUCCUUAAUAGAUUCAAAGCCUCGUUGUUGUGUCCUGCUCCACUAUAACAAAGAGCUAAUGAAUUCCAACGAUCAACACGGUGAUAUACUCCAGGCAUGAUCUCUUCCAGCUGCUUUGCUAAAACUGAAGUUUGGUUGCAUAAAGAUAACGCAAAUGUUAGAUGUUCCAUAAGCGAUGGGUCACAUUUGGUUUUACCUAGGGAUAACUUUCUCAAAAGGAUCAUCAAAAGCAGAAUUGCUUCCUCCAGAUUAUUUUUGGGCACAUAUGAACCUUCAACCUGAACACCUAAACUGGGUGGACCAGCCUCUACUCCACUAUACAACAAAAACACAGCAAAUCCUUUCUGAAUUCUUGCACAGCAGUCGUUGUCAAGGUUCCAUUGACUAAGUAGGGCACGCCUGUAAGCAGAUAUUGCUUCAUGAUAGUAACCAGCUUGCUUCCAAAGCUCAGGAAGGAGCUCUACAGCUUGGCUGACUGUCUCUUGCAAUCUACCAUCCACUUGCGCAUCAUGCAUGCCCUGAUGGAAAAUUUUUUCCACAGCAUCAAGCACAUUUUUGCAUUCACUAGCAGCCUCUGCAGACACAUAAAACAAGGUUCCAUUUGUACUCUAAUUCAAACUUGAAAAGUUAAAAAGAAAGGAAAACCAUCAUAUCAAUUGCUGGAACAGUACCCUACCAGUUAAUCUCCCAAGCUUUUGAAGAGACUUGGAUUUUAAGUAUAUAGCAUCAAGAACGAGACUAGCAGCAUGCUGUGAGACUGUAUGCUGUGAGUCAGAACGGGUUCGGCCCUUCCUAGAAGGUGUUUUCUCAGCAAGAGAAGGUUGCAAUCGCUCUAUGGCAGCUUGAAGAUCGAUGCCAUCGAACACACGAAGUGCACCUUCUAGGUUACCUCUUUGGUACUCCAGCUUUCCAAGAAGGGCUCUUGCUUCCUAUAGAUUAUCAUAAAUCAAUGUUUUUUUUUUCUUGGAUAAGUGAUAACCAAUCAUCAAGCACUACUCUAACUUGUGCAUAUAGCCGUACAGACACAGAUAUAAUUAUGGAAAAGAUGGUAAAUUCCAGAAUAAACCAAGAUUUUAAAUGACUAAUACUUCAAAUGAUGAAAUUAUAAAAGAAUAUCCUGGAAUUAUUUUUAUUAUAACCUGAAUCAGAUUCCAAAUUUCUGAUGGACUGGGAAACAUUAGGGCCGACACCUCAAGUAUACUAUAAGCACUAUUCUUAAAGGGGAGGAGGUACUGUUAGGUCCAUAGGUCAUACAAAAUUUUUACACAAAAACAAACAGAUGAUAAGCAUAGAAUAACCUCAAAAUUGAGUGAUAACCCUUCUCGUAAUGAAGAUUCUGCCUCCUGAAUAUUUCCUUCAUCAAGCUUGGCCUGAACAUCUGUUGCUUUCAUGGAAUUCCCAUUUGCAGAGAAUUCAAUCACCAUGCCUUCUUCAUACUCGCCAGAUUCCAUGGCGUGGCUUCCUACUCUUCCUCACCUUAUUCCACAAAUUUCACUUUUGUCCCAGUCUUUUAUCCAUUCAACACUUAGCUGACAAAUAAAUAAAAUGCUGCAGUUCUUAGAAAUUGAACAUAAUUUAAGUAUAAAAACUAACUAUUUGUGUAACAAAAUUCAGCAACACAUUUCAUCUCAAUUAUGCUCAAAUAUAUGACUAAAACCUAUUCCCUUUCCGAAAAUUUCUCAGCAACCAAACAGAUGCUUUAGUAUAACAUUAAUGAUAUCUAGGUAAUCUACACAUUUAUGUAACAGAAAAUCCCAGGGGCAAACUACCAAUCUUUAGAUCCAAUGUAAUCCAAUUAAACUGAAAAAGAAAAUUUGAAGUUAUAGGUAAUGCUGGGUUGCUAAGAAAAUGUAAGAAUUGGGAAGAAAAGUAAUAAAAAUUACAAAUUUACAGAGCUUUCACAAUGCGGGGUCCAAAUAGCAACAUUUUCAGUCAAUAUUCAUUGAGGUGACAAAAUUUUCGAAAGAGCGAAAGAACACCAGUUACAAAAGCAGCACUCAUAAUUUCGUUUCAACUCGUUUUCAUUACAUUGUCUUCCAUUUUCUUUCGUUUUUUCUUUAAAUUUUCCCAUCAAGCAAACAGCUUUGAAAUGCCUAGUGCGUUGUGAUUGUUACCUUGCCGGUUGCAUCGGAUUCAGAUCACGGUUUGCUGAAAAUGACGGAAGCUUGAAAUUGCGCGGUGGAAUGUGACCGGUGGGGAAUCAGCUACAACGACAUGUUUGAUGUGUGAGAAAAUUCAGGGCUUUGUGAGGUUGAGAGACCUGAGAGAGAGAGAGAGAGAGCGAUGUGUGAUCUGAAUGUUAAACUAUUCAUUUAAUGGUUUUUUGGAGCUACAACCAUAUAAUAACGUUCUUCUUCUCCUUCUCCUCCUUCCCCUUUAUUUUAUUUCAUUUUGGGGGUAAAUCUGAAGUUUAAAGGGAAAUAGCUUAAAAUGCCACCUUUUUUAUAAUUUUAACUAAAAAUACCAUCCCUUCCCAAUUUUUUUACAACUACCACCUAUAAAUACAUUUUUAUUGUGGAAUUAUUGUACCCAUUUCAGUUUUUCAGAAAUUGGGUUCUCUCUCAACUCUCUUGGCUCUAUCUCUCUUCAGCCCUUCUCUCUCCCUCGUGUAACUCUCUCUCUCUCCGACGCAAUCGUCUUUCUCCCUCAGCGGUGGCUAUUCAUCCAAGCUUAACUCCACGAUUCACAUCCACGAGGUACUGUUCAUCUUCCUUGUCUUUGAAAUUUGGGGUUUUUGUGAAUUUGGUUUAUGGUGUAUGGAUUUGUAAGAAAUUGAUUUAGGGGUUUCUUCGAAAUUGGUUUUGGGUCUCAAUUCUUUGUGCCCAAGUACUAAUUAAUACCAGUCAUGGAGAAUUGUCACUGAAUGAAGCAUCCGUAGAGAAUUGUUGGAUGAAAAUAUCUUUGCUAUAUUCAUGCUACUUCCUCUUGCGGGUGGUUUAUGUUGAGUUAAUAUUUAAAUUUUAAAAUGCAUUCUUUUUUCAAUUUUGAUUUCAACGUUUUCUUCAAAAUUGUUUGUGUGUAAAUGCAAAAUAAAGGCAUAGAUUCUAAUUGGACUAUUCAUUUUGCCCAAAAGCAUUCCUGAUGCUUGAUCUUUGUCAGUGUAACAAUCAUGUUAUGGAAUUAUAAGUUUGCACAUACAAUUUGAUGGUUGUCUAAUUAUAUGUUUCAUGUUUUGGAAAAUUUCUGGUAUUUCUUGAAACCAACCAUGGCUGACUAGUUCACAUUCUCAUUAUCAAUUUUUUUUUCUUUCCCAAUUUGCUUUAUCCGCCAUAUAGUAUUGUGAUUUUAAUAAUUAUUUUUCUUAUAGAUGUUCACAUAUUAACUGGUGAAAAUAAUUGAACAGAGAAAAUCCAAUGAUGCAGAAGUCGAGUCACUGCGAGAGGAAUACCAUCAAAGGGUUGCAACACUUGAAAGGAAGGUAGGUCUUCUCAUAAAGUCUUGUUUAUAAUCGUGCUUGGAUUGAUCUAGGUGUUAUAUGUGCCCCUUAUGUUUUUGAUGAAAUUGGUACUUGCCUAUUUUUAAUUCAGCUCCUGAUAAUUGGAGGGGCUAUGCCAACUUAUGAUUGCAGGUGUAUGCUCUUACAAAGGAAAGGGACACGCUUCGGCGGGAGCAGAAUAAGAAAAGUGAUGCAGCUGCUCUUCUGAAGGAAAAGGAUGAAAUAAUUAAUCAAGUUAUGGCUGAAAGUCUCUUUCUGUCCCUGUCUGUCUCUGUUUCUCUUGAGAAGCUCAAUAUGUUCUACAUAUUUUGUGCCUCAUAGUGAAUUUCCGUUACUUGUAAAUCAUGAUUUCUUUAGCGUAUUUAAUUGCAUUGUGUUUUUCGUUUCGGGUAGAACAGAGUUUUCAAUGAUAGGAUUUAUUUGGAAAAAAGGAAUUCUGGUAGUUAUGCUGUGUUCUCUAUUUUUGCAUGAAAGUUGAAAGUAAGAUGUCCCAUCUAUAUGUGUGACAGCUUCAGGAUUAUGGCCUUCGUCUACUGAAAGGAAAUUGCUAUUUGAUCCUGUUAUAUCUUUUAUGGGACAAACAAAUGAGGGAAGUAGUGUUGAUUCAUCACAGAAAGCUGAGUCUUCAGAGCAUCCGCCAAAGGUUGACAAAUCAUCAGGGGAAUCUGAAUCUCCACAAAAACUCUCUACUGUUGAGGCAAAGGAAGGGGUCAAAACAGAAACUUUACAACACUCUUCAACUGAACAGAUGGCUGAUAAGGAGGAAACUGAAGUUGUCAAGGAAGAAACAGAUGAUAAGCAUGCUGCGACGGUGGAGGAAACAGAGACUGUGGUAGCAGAGCCUGAAAAAUCUGAAUCUGAAUCUGAAAAAUAGAAAAUCUAUAUGAUGGGGGUUUUCUGGCUAGCUAAAAAUCUGUGAGAAAUGAUGAAUCCAUCUGAUUGCAGCCUAUUUAAUGUUUAAUACCUUCAUUAAAAAAAGGUUGUUGAUAGUGCUUUGACUAUCUUGCAGAUUAUAAUGGCAAAACCAGCAGGUGGCCCUAGUGAGAGAGAUCAGCAUGCAGGGAUGGAUGAGGACUAAUUUUGUGUGUAUGACAAUUGACUAUCUUUGCUUGUAUUGCUCUAUGUUAGGGAUCUUUUGUUCCAUUUUAAUAACAAUUUUGUUUAGGAGAAAAAGAAACAUAUUGCAGUUCAUGCUUUGUAAAUGCCAUCUUCUGUUAUGAUGGACACGUGGUAUGCUCUUGUUGGGUAGGUUUUGGAUUGAAACCAUGGUCGAGUGCUUGAGCCAUGUUUAGUGUGAAGCUUGAAUGGAUUUUCUUUUCUGUUGUAUUUGGCCCUUGUCUUUUCAAGCAUGCCAAAAAUCAUCCUAGUUUUGUAAUAUGUGGUUUGUGUCCAAUUAAUUUACUGUGGACCUUGCAUUUUUGUACCCAAUAUUUGAUAGUUGCCUUCUUUUGAACGAAGAUUCAUUGAGGGAGAGAAUUACUUUCCUUUUGAAUAUGAAUCGAUGUGCAACUCCAACUAUCAUUUCAAAGGUCAACAUCAAUUCAUGCUAAUAUAAGGAUGGAUAACAAUUGUCGUGUCCAUGAGAUUCGAAUUCAGGAUUACUUUUCAACAAAGUGGAGACUCUGUUAUUAGACCAAAUGGCCAUUGACAUACGAUAUAAUAGCAAUAUUAGGCCAAUACAUGUACACUAUAGAGGCAAUAUUAAAGCAAUAUAACCACAAUACGAUAGCAAUAAUAUUACAAUAUCACCUAUAAAAAUAUAAUUAUUGUCCACUUAUUGCUGAUUUUGCACAUGUUCAGAAAUUUUGUUCUCUCUUAGCUCACUCGGCUCUCUCUCUCUGGCACAUCUCUCUCUCUGGCACAUCUCUCUCUCUCUUUGGUAUCUGUCUAUCGCAGCUCUCUAUCUCUCUCUCUCUCUCUCUCUCUCUCUCUCUCUCUCUCUCUCUCUCUAGUGCAACUCUCUCUUUGCUCUCUUUCUGUAGCGCAGCUCUCUCUCUGUCUCUCUCUAGCUUCGUUCUGCCUCUUUCUCCCCUUAUUCGCUCUCUGUCUCUUUAUUCAUACCUUCCUUUUUUUGUAAAUUAUUUUUUAGUUGUUAUUAUUUUUUAAAAUAAUUUCUUACAAUGUCUUACGAUGCAAUUAUGAUGCACCUGACUGCCUGUUUUUGAAAGGCACGUUGUUUCUUUCUCCUCCUCGUCUUCUUUUUGAAUGCAAUAUGGCCCAAACAGUAAACCCAUUGAUGAGCUGUAGUCAAUAUACAUACACUAGGUCAAUAUAAUGGCAAUACGAUAGCAAUAGCAUUACAAUAUACAUGCAAUAUGAUGGCAAUAUGCAUACAAUAUUAGUACAAUACACAGGCAAUAUUAGUACAAUACACAUGCAAUAGGACAGCAAUAUUAAGUCAAUCUACAUACAAUACACACACAUCCAUUACAGACUACAAUUUAGACAUGGAAAAUAAAUCGCCACCGAACCCUAACAGUACUAUCCCAAGAAGCAAAAAUUAUUUCUUUCAUAAAACUUGACAAUUCAAUUGUUAUUACAUAGUCAACCAAUCUUUGCUCUAUUACAUACAUACUUCCCACCUAUAAUUAUAAAUAAUGGAGAGCUCACAAAUUCUACUAAUUUGAUCUUAACUUCAUCAAUUUGUUCUUCGUUGUAUGAGUUAGCUCUCCCUUCUUGCACAUUUUCCAAGUUGUUCUGUUCUCCUCCCGUGUAGCAAUAUCAGCAACAACAGGUUAUCUACAUAUCUGAAAUCAUAACUGCACAUGAUUCUCAAUUAGCAAAGAGGAAAACCAUUUUCUUUUAUAACUUCGGUUCUGAAAUAUAUAACAAAAUGCAAAUAUCUUUGCUUCUGAAAAGGAGCAAAAGUUUGUCAACCAAUUCAUAGUAAAAACGAAGAAACUAGUGAACAUAACCAGAAAAAUGCUAACCUGCAAAACCAACUCCAAUACUUUAACCACAUCAUUAAUACUUGAGAUUUUCUUCUCAUGGAUUAUGAUUAGAGGAUUUUCCAAUUCCUAUCAGCACAUACACAAGUUUGAAGAUAAUCAGCAUCAAGCAAAAAGGGACUUGAGGUGCUGCUAACUUUAACAAGCAGCCCUCUAACAGUUUCAAGACAUAGUUAUCGCUGAGUCAAACUAAAACUUACACAUUUCUGAUUGUUCUGGUUGGUGAUGAAAUAAGGGGAUAUGUAGCCCCUGUCUAGCUUCAUUCCCUCAACAACCUCCAGCUCGUUGUCCAAUGUUUUCCCAUCCUGCAAAAAUUAACAUAGUGUGAAGCUUACAUGUUUUGGGUAUCAUUUGGGAAUAAAAAACUAAAAUAAAAUUAUUUGCCCUCCAAUAUAUUUCUGUACAAAUUUCAUAAGACCCAUACAUACCUCACUUUAAAACAACAAUAAAAAGAAGCUGAUAUCAUCCAUAUUUCAGCCCUUGCAAUAUGGUAACUACACUAAUAUGCCUAUGACAAAUCUGCUGACUAGAAACAGACAUAUGCAAAUAAAGUCACAUACCCAUCAGCACAGCCACUGUCCAGGUCGUGAUGAGAUACAAGCCAAUAGACGACCACAACCAAAUUGCUCUUCAAUAUGCUGGUCAAGAGUUGUCUUUAUCAAACGAAAUCAGAGAACCACAAUUUUAAAGAUUCCAACAUAAAUGAAUUACCUGAAGUUUAGUAAUCAACCCUUUCUUCUCUUCUUCAAACUCUCUGAUCUAGUAUUCAGAGAAAAAAAUAUAAGAAUACCUAGCAGUGAAAGGAUUAAAGAAUGACAAAAUCAGACAAUGAAUAAACCGGCUAGCAUACCUGAGCCCUUAAUUUCCUAAUCUGUCCUUCUUGAGCAGCCUGCUUUUUUGAAAGCUCUUCACCUGGUACAUAAAAAUGCAAAAAUGAAGGAAUUUCCAUAAUUAUUGAUAUGAUUGCAUAAAGAAACCCUCCUCGCAUCCACAAUAGAACAUUGGCUACGUUGAAAUUCACUAUGAGGCACAAAAUAUGUAGAACAUAUUGAGCUUCUCAAGAGAAACAGAGACAGACAGGGACAGAAAGAGACCUUCAGCCAUAACUUGAUUAAUUAUUUCAUCCUUUUCCUUCAGAAGAGCAGCUGCAUCACUUUUCCUAUUCUGCUCCCGCCGAAGCGUGUCCCUUUCCUUUGUAAGAGCAUACACCUGCAAUCAUAAGUUGGCAUAGCCCCUCCAAUUAUCAGGAGCUGAAUUAAAAAUAGGCAAGUACCAAUUUCAUCAAAAACAUAAGGGGCACAUAUAACACCUAGAUCAAUCCAAGCACGAUUAUAAACAAGACUUUAUGAGAAGACCUACCUUCCUUUCAAGUGUUGCAACCCUUUGAUGGUAUUCCUCUCGCAGUGACUCGACUUCUGCAUCAUUGGAUUUUCUCUGUUCAAUUAUUUUCACCAGUUAAUAUGUGAACAUCUAUAAGAAAAAUAAUUAUUAAAAUCACAAUACUAUAUGGCUGAUAAAGCAAAUUGGGAAAGAAAAAAAAAUUGAUAAUGAGAAUGUGAACUAGUCAACCAUGGUUGGUUUCAAGAAAUACCAGAAAUUUUCCAAAACAUGAAACAUAUAAUUACACAACCAUCAAAUUGUAUGUGCAAACUUAUAAUUCCAUAACAUGAUUGUUACACUGACAAAGAUCAAGCAUCAGGAAUGCUUUUGGGCAAAAUGAAUAGUCCAAUUAGAAUCUAUGCCUUUAUUUUGCAUUUACACACAAACAAUUUUGAAGAAAACGUCGUUGAAAUCAAAAUUGAAAAAAGAAUGCAUUUUAAAAUUUAAAUAUUAACUCAACAUAAACCACCCGCAAGAGGAAGUAGCAUGAAUAUAGCAAAGAUAUUUUCAUCCAACAAUUCUCCACGGAUGCUUCAUUCAAUGACAAUUCUCCAUGACUAGUAUUAAUUAGUACUUGGGCACAAAGAAUUGAGACCCAAAACCAAUUUCGAAGAAACCCCUAAAUCAAUUUCUUACAAAUCCAUACACCAUAAACCAAAUUCACAAAAACCCCAAAUUUCAAAGACAAGGAAGAUGAACAGUACCUCGUGGAUGUGAAUCGUGGAGUUAAGCUUGGAUGAAUAGCCACCGCUGAGGGAGAAAGACGAUUGCGUCGGAGAGAGAGAGAGUUACACGAGGGAGAGAGAAGGGCUGAAGAGAGAGAUAGAGCCAAGAGAGUUGAGAGAGAACCCAAUUUCUGAAAAACUGAAAUGGGUACAAUCAUUCCACAAUAAAAAUGUAUUUAUAGAUGGUAGUUGUAAAAAAAUUGGGAAGGGAUGAUAUUUUUAGUUAAAAUUAUAAAAAAGGUGGCAUUUUAAGCUAUUUCCCAAGUUUAAAAUGGAUUGUCAGCGGAAAAAGGGAAAAAAAUUAUUAAAAUGGGUAAUUCCCUAAACUUUUAAUUUUAUUUUAAAUUAAAAAAUAUUAUUAAUUGCAUUCAUCCAAUUCUGAUAGUCAACUCACGGACUUAAUAAAAUAAAAAAUAUGCAUUUAAAUGAAUAAUGAAAUACUAAAUAACAGUUCAACAUAAACUACUAAGUUGAUACUAGAAUAUGAUUAUGUCGUAUAAACUCAUCUAUUUAUAUUAUAACACUUAAAUGAGUUAUAUUAUUUGACCGUAUUUCAAUAUUAUACAAGUCCAAGGGGCUGUGCAUAAUGUUUAACUAUUUAAAACUUACUUAUUAAUUUUAAAGAAAUCAUAAAAUUAAAAUAAUUAGAGUAAAAUUGGCAAUGUCUUUGACCUUUCUUAGGCUUUACCAAAUUAUUUUCAAUUUCUUCUUUUGCUUUCUUUUUUCUUUAAAUUACCUGAUUUGAUAGAGAGAAGAGGCCACAGAUGAAAAGCCCAACGUACCUCCAAAGGAGCCUGAGCCCAAAGCCCGCAGUUGCCCAGCAACGGUUGGGUUUUACCAGUCGGUCCCGCUCUAAACAAGAUAAGAUUUUCGUCAAAAAUAUGCUACAGUCUUCUGCUCCAACAGCUUCUUCAGAAAUUCCCUUAAAACUUCAUUCAUACUCGGGUUUUCUCUGAGCACUUCUGAGAGACGAAACCCAGAAAAGAAAUGCCUCAAACGCUUUUCUUAAAGCCCUUCAUUUCAGCUCCUUUGGAUAAUUGGAGGUUUGUUUUUCCUUCAUCCCCUUUUGCUAAACCCUGGUAAAACCCCUAAAAACCCAUACUUUCAUUUGAGCAUCUGUGUUCUAUUUCAGCUUCUGAGUUUGCAUUCUUUAUGCUCUGUUUGGUUACUUGUAUAAUUUGGGGGGAUAACAUUGAAUUUUUGAGGUUCAGGGCUGUAGCUUUUACUUUGAAAGUGAAGUGACAAUUAUUUUACUACAUUUUGUAGCUAAUGUUUUCUCUCGGCAGCCAAACAGGGGGUUGUGGUUAACUAAAUUUUCUGUUUUGAUUCAAAAUUCUGAAAGAUAUGAAUACAUGGUAUGAUUUUUCUUGAUGGGGUUGAAGGUGAAAUUGCUGUUUUUGUAUGCCUCUGGAGUAUGCUAUCAUUUUUGAAGACGUGCAACCGUAAAUUAUGAAUGUUUGAGUAUAAUUAGAUUAAUUUAUAUCUACCUAGUUGCAUUGUUGUGCAAUUGAAUUUCUCUGCAAUGUGGCCUUUGGCUUGCAUGCUCCACUGGACCUGGGAAAGUCGGGCUUUUGCAUAGAAAUGACUAGUCUGAGAACUCU